GACGAACCACGUGAGCGAGUGAAGCUGCUGCCAAGGAAAGAGUGUACAAGAAGCAGAACUGAGAGGGGUCGCGUAAGAGAGGGGGGUAGGUAGGCAGGGAGGUAUGCAAACAGGGGCGAUGCAUUAACUAUUCAAGGCACGAAGGGAUGACGAUUUAGACUUCAGAUGUAGCGGUAGGUUGAGCAGCCACGACAGAGAGAGAGAGAGAGAGAGAGAGAGGGAGGGAGAAAGGCGCGAGGGGAGACUAUCCGGCCGCCGUCGCCGCGCCUUCAUUCAAGAAGCCAGCCACCACACACCGACUCAUGUACCACCCGGUGUUGCCACCAUCAUCACCAUGAGCACCACCAUUACCAGCACCGGCACCAGCACAAUUCACUACCACCAUUCACUACCCCCAUUCACCACCACCAUACUUGCCAUAUUCAGAACGGCGUUUCGCAACCAACACAACGAGACUAGAUAGACAACGAUUAGAGCAAUUGUGAUGUAACGGCUAACUUGACGAUUUAUCAAGAAACGACUCAUCGUCCAUGAAUCGCACCCCUGAUGAUGUAAUCGAAUGGGGCGGUCCCUAUCUAAUACACCAGGGCGCUAUCUGUAGACGAUCAAAUCUCUCUAUAGUAGACGCGAGAGGAGGGUACCCCUCGGUAGGUACCCCGUUUUCCGCACCAGGCUGAGAUCACCGUCAGGGAGGCGUCACCGCCAAACACACCCACGUUAUCCUCAUAUCAACUCCUGGUUAGUCGUGAUUACGAUGGCGAGUCAGCGCCCGCUCAGGCCCAUUUCGCGAUGAUGCUACAUGGCGAGCCGGAAAAGCUCUCGUCUGAAAAGAAAAGAUCCGGUAGUGGGAUCAUGGGUGUGCAUGACGACAUGGACGCCAAGACUUUGAUUUAUGUGACCACCUCCCGGCAGGCACCCGACACGACGAAAUAACCAAGCUGUGGUACCUCUGCCUUCAUUGCCAACAGAGGUAAAUUCUUCUAAAAGCAAGCAACACAGGCGCUGGCGGUUGCAGAAAGGGGACCGUAACAAGGACACUUCUCAAGGGGUGAGGUUGCUCAGUGUUUGAGUAGCUGCGUCCCAGGCCCCAUGUCCGGCAGCCGCCAUCGCCACCAGCCGCUAUCAAGAAGGGUAGCAGCUUGGCGGUAGCCAGCAGAGGACCAGCCUGCCCAUCCAAACCCACCGGACAGACAGACCCUACAGACUGGGCCCCCUACCUGCUCGAAGGCGCCCCAUAUGCCACUGAUCCUUUCAGGCGGGAUGCCAAUGCCCGUAUCCGCCACUUGCAGCGUCACCGAGCUGCCGUCCGCCGAGGGAGACACCCGUACGCAUACCCGGCCGCGGUGGGUGAAUUUGAGUGCAUUACCGGCCAGGUUGUAAAGGAUCUGGGGGUGCAAAAAGGGCAGGGAGGGCAGGCGGGAAGGUAAAAGGCCCCCGGAUGCUGGGGAGAAAAGCACGGGGCGAAUAUGGCAGAGGACAGAGGACAGAGGAAGGUUGCCCAGGCCCAGGUGAUGACGGGAGUUUGCAACAUGUUUUGCACACCAUGUCCCGACAAUAUGGGAAAUUGCUAUCAAAUAACCUAUUAAUACUACGAAGCCUGACGUACAGCAGCCUGACGUACAGCAGCGACCUUCUUAAAAACCUCCACUUCGAACACCUGCAAUGUUAAACCCCUGCCCUGUCAUGCUGCAUCCAAGUACCAAUUCCCUCCCCGGCCCCCCCAAAUCCCUUCCGGAAAAGCUUCCGAGACCACAAAAGGCCGUGCCACAUCAGGUCGCGCAACAUCAAAACGUUUUUUUACCUGGAUGACCCUGCUAAAGUCCGCAAUGAUGAGUGGCGUGUGUGGGUCCACGGACCGCUCGAUGGCGACGUCCUUACGGGCCAACGGCGCCACAAUGUCCACCACGUGCUCCACCGCCUUGGCGAGGGAGCACAGCUCAUGCUUGAUGGUCAGCUUGCCCUCCUAAGAGCACGGCACGUGAAUGGGUGGGGUGGGUGGGAAAAGGGGAGGGUUGCGUCCACAGGAAGGUGCGUAAUUCGUUUCCCAUCGUUUUACGAUUCCCCCGGGAGAUUCCCUCAAUAGUAACGCCACGUUUCGCAUUCGUUUACGUGCACAGACGAAUCUGCACUUGGGGUUGAGUUAGGAAGAAUGCGUGCUGUAGCGAAACUUUUACUUCACACGUCCCCUCUCACGCACGCACGUUACCUUGAGUGCGGCCACGUCCAGGAUGUCGUUGAUGAUAUUGAGCAGGUGGUUGGAGCUGUUCUUGAUAGUCUUCACAAAGUGCUGUCCCUUCGGGUUCAUCUCGCCGCCAGCGCCGCGAACCUGUUUUGGGAAAGCAGGGCGAUAGCGACGCAGCACAGCGACGUAUCAAUCCAUUUAUCAAAACAGUAUUUAUAUUGAAAAGAAUGGCGGAGGAACCCACAUCAGCAGGCGCCAAAUGAGAUAUUGUGUUUCUUUGGAUUUUGACUUUGCGUGUUGUUGUGGGUUGUUCUAUCCGCCGCAAGGUCCUUGGAAAACCCAUGCAUAUGCAACGAACACCGUCGACCUUUGCGAUGGGACCGAUUGACCCAUAACCCACGACUCCGUAAAUGCCAGUCCCUUCACAGGACAUACAGGAGCACCAGCCACCACGUUCUGCUCAUCCUCCCGGACACAGGCUCCUUCCUGGCUUGGCAACUUCCAACAACCCAGUUGUAAAUUGAUUCGGGUAAAGCCCCAGCAACCCGGGUAGAGAGGGAGGAGACCCAGCAGUAGCUUACGUCACCAUAACGGCAAUGGGUACAACACAGCCCUCCGGGCGCCUGUGCGUCAACCCUGCAUUCGCACGCUCGCCAUCCCCAUCCCCAACCCCAUACAAAAGCCAAAGCCUAAGUCCGACCCAGCAUCACAAAUACAAUCCGCGCACAAAUCCGGGACCCGGAGGAAACGACAAGUGUCCAGAUUUUGUGUGAUGACCCACGGGUCACGUACUGACCAGCGCGUCUGACAGCUGGAUGAUUCCGUUGAGAGGUGUCCGCAGCUCGUGGCUCAUGAGGCUCAUGAACUGGUCCUUGCGUGUCACCGCAUCCCGAAGCUCCUGGAUCAUCCGCACGCGGUGCGCGUUCUCAGCCGCCUGCUGAGCCAACAACCGCCGCUGCGCUAUCGUCAUGUAGUUGCCGUACAUAAUGGACGAGGAGAAAAGGACCUGCGGGUGCGUGUUGUGGGGAGCGAGGCAGGGCGGAGGUAGCCGCAGCGUGCAUUCUGUUGUGCAGGGCUGGGAUGAAGCGCGGGGAGCAGCACAGGGGCGCUUUCUGGUCGGUUUCCGGAAUUCGUCCCCACAGCCACUCAGACGAAGAGGCGACACUAAAACACACACACACACACACACACACACACACGCACACAUAUACAGAUAUAGUCGCGCGUACGUGUGCCAUUAUUCUUCAGGAACAAUACAGCCUUCUCUAAAGUUCCUUGCGGGCCAUACUCAGCACUUUCUCCUUGCAGCCCAGUUAAUUAAAGCAAUUAGAGAUACACACACAUACAUACACACAUACACAUACAUGCACACACAGUCGCGCCUCUCCACUACAGCGACACACAUUGAUACGGGCCCUUGAUUUCACGGGCGCCUGUUCAACAUCUCCUCCUUGGGAUAUUUAAGCUAUGUAAAUACUAUCGUUACGGGAAAGGCUUAUUACACACAUCGCUGGUGACCAGGGAGCUCGCGUCGGUGUGAAGUUAUUCGUGCAACCUCUUCGGAUAUGGCCUCUUCCCCAUAUCGUGGCUCAGAUAAACCAAAACACAUACACACUCACACAGCAGCUCCCCUCCCUCCCUCCCUCCCUCCCUCCGUCCUACCCAGCCCCCACGACGCACCUUGGCCAUAAAGUUGGCAAAAAUGUUCAGGUACUCUCCGUACGGCGAGGAGGAAUUCAGUAGAUGGAGCACCCAAGCCACCGGGAACAUGCUCCAUAUGAGCAGCGUGCACAUGUAGAUGAACAGCAGAGAGCGGCGGGAGGAGGGGCUCGAGUGCUCCUUCACAGCCGAGAACACCAUACGGCCCAUCAUGUACAACACGCCGACGAAGGACAGCAUGCUGACGCUGAACAUCAGCCCUGGGUCACCAUUAAGCCGACGCCGUACCAUGUACGGUUGCCGUACAUGAUACCGGUUGGGAAGCACAUUACACAAGUGCAACAUGGUGUAUGAGAGGAAGGGGGAAAUAGGGAAGGGGGAGGGCACACAGACAAGUGAGCGACUCAAGGGGAAAGGGCCCAGGUCGUAUAAGGGUUGGGAUCAGGUGGGGAACGGGACGGGUGCAAUAGUGGGCCAAGUGGAGGUACGCGACGAUACGCAAUGCUGCACGACCCAACGAAGGGUCUAUCAAAUGAAACCCGCAUGAGCCAGGUUUAGGACUCACAGCACAUUAGGUGUCACCGUGGACACCAACCCCGUGUACAAAGCCGGUUUACACCGAAAAGGAGCAAACUGUAGCACCAACGUAGUAAGCUAAGGGGGGGGCGCUGGUUUUCAAGAGCUUGCGUGCGUGCGUGUGUGCGUAUGUGUGUGUGCACAAUGGUGAUAAUGGUGAGAAUGCGUGUGUGAAAGGACAAAAGUAUUUUGCUUCUUGUGGGAAGAACCCGGAGUGGACGGAGCGGCCCGCGACCCUCGGGAAGAAGUGUACAAAAGCAGCCAGGCGCGGCGACAGCAGGCUUUCAGACAGGAAUAUGUCCUUUGUACGCUAAAGAGUCUCGCUUCUGUGCUACCGAUAUGGUCUGGCUGGUGGUGGUGCUGGUGCUGGUGCUGUUGUUGUAUACUGCUAUAUACCGCCUGCCUGCAGCUGCAGCUGCUGGUGCUUUUCCUACGACAUGCUUUCCUACACAGGCUUCCCCAACUGCUCCUCCGUAAACAGCAUCAGUCUACGAGACGUCACAUCGCAGGUGCCCGGAUGGCAACAGCGGCGACAGCUUUCAGGGGACCGUGGCCGAGUACGCGCGCCUGCCGGGCCGCCAAUAAGCAGCGAAGUGCCGCCUCGGCGCGGGUGCCCAUAGUUGGCGACGCGAAACCCCCCACCUGCCGCAGCAGGUAAGGGCUGGAGAAGACCCCGCCCAGUCCCCCCCGACUAUGUUUUUCCAAGCGCCUUUGGAUGGGACGUGGUGGUGGUGGUGGUGCGGCAAAGGAGGGCCUUUUUAUUGCCACCACCAGCCCGCUAAGUGACCUCCUGUCUCCUGCCGCACAGCAGCUACGCCCCAGCCACAGCUGGGCGCCGGUGCUGCCACCACAAAAGCAGCUGCCACAGCCACAGUCCCCAGCAGUGAUGCCGGGCCCCCGGGGCAGCAGCUCGAUGAGGCGAGGGUCGCUGACUACUGAGAGCCAACAGCAACUGUCAACUGCUCCAAAGGGCCCCCUGGGAAUGCCUCCCGCACCUAGCUCGUACAAUCUGCUGCUGCUGCUGUUGCUGCUGCUUACAUCCCAUCUUCUAUUGCAACUGACGUGGCCAACAAGUCGCUGCUUGCUGGCUGGCUGGUGUAAGGAUGCCGCUUUAUGGAUGUAAUGCACACGCACUGGAUUGGAGGUCGUGGGGUCCACAUUGCGGCUAAACCACGUGGCGCCGGUGAGACAAAAGGAAACCAGAUACCCGGGGCUGAGGUUGCGCCUCGAGGUUGAGCCUUUGCUUCACUCCUAGUUGCUCCAAGGCCCAUAUGUGCAGCCGAAUAGCUGAAAUGCUACGCGAUGAUGGCUGGCACCCGCAGAGCCGAUAACGCCCUGCUCGCCACCAGCGGCGCUACCUUACGCCACAAUAUAUGCAAUAUACACGUGGCGGCCCCUGCUCGACCCAUGCCUGUGCGCCUGGACCUCCCUAUGAUGGACAUUGCCGGAUUUCUCCCCAUACCCCCCCCAUGGCAGGCCUUUCGAGGCCUUGCCCUGCUCACUUGACACCACCUCACCCCUCUUUCCCUGCGGACCUACGGCCCGGGCAAAGCGAACCACGCGCGAACGAGUGCUCCUUACCAAGCAUCCUCACCCUGACCACGGCGUCCCCCAAGCCCAUCAACCCGUCAUUUAUCGCACCAUCCCCAUCCCCAUCACCAUCACCAUCCAACAGACAAGUGUUCGCUCACAAUUCAGGUAGGGCCCCGGAGCGAAGUUAGCCAUGAGGCCGCUGAGCACCAUGACCACGUCCAUGCAUAUGGCGGUAGCGGUUUGCUGCGGCGUGAAGUCCGAGAUCUUGGACAGGAUAUAGACCAUGGUGGGCGUGGUUACCAUCCACUGCACGUACCGCUGAGGGAUCACGCUGUUGGAGGGCGAGGGGGAAGGCCCGGGCCCGAGCAAGGCGGUGGGUCGCAUGCACAGAGAGAGAGAGAGUGUGUGGAACAGUGCACGAUAAAGAAGGGGGGUCUGCACAUUACGGGGAAGGGACGGAGGUUGCUUCAAUAGAGUGGCAAUGAGACUUGAUUGGCCGUGAAGCCGAGUGACCCGGGGGAGGGGGGCGGCAUGGCGGUGGAGUAGGGAUGGGGCUUGGUGGGUGUGAACAGGACGCGGAGAGGUUUCCAAAACGUGUGGGUCAGCAGAAUAUGUGCAUACUGCUACAUCCACUAGAAGUAUUCGCAUUUUACUUUAUCACAUCAGGUUUGAUCGCUUCUUCUUCUUCCAUUUCUUCAAGGCCUAGGGGGGAGAGAUGUCCAACAAGAUGUAUAGCUUUCUCCCUUUCGUGUACUGUCUGACCAGAUGGCGGGUCCCUUCACAUACCCUAUCCCGACCCACAUCGCGCCAAAAGCGUCAAAGACGACGCGCGCGCGCCCCGUGACCAGUAGCAUAUCGGUGUGGCAAGCUGCGCCCUUAAUGGCGCAGCUGAGCAGCGCCAGCUGCCGCUUGGGUGCAUUGUCCUCGAAGAGAAGGGACGUCAAGUUCAGCACCAAAGCGGUGAAGAAUGCAGUGGAGCUCAUCUGGUAUACCAGCAGAGGUACCUGCACGCGUAACGACAUGUGCGGGCGGAGAAGUGAAGGGAGCAGCCGCCCCAUCAUACAGGGAGACACCCUUGUCCCCUUGCUGACGAGCAGCUUAGACACGGUAAGGACACAUCUACUGUCGCCUGACUGAAGAUUCACACCUGCUUGAACAAUUCCACAGAUGCCACAGGGUUUGCAGGGAGGCACGCAUCGACUACCCAACUUGCUGUCAUGUAAAAGCAAAAUCCAGUCCUGCACGCUCAAACAAGCACGCCGUGGGUUGGUUAGCAAGAAAUCCCUUGUUAGCUGCGCACACGCCACGAAGUGGACGAGGCAUCGCUACAGAUCACAUCGCGUUGAUGCAAGAUGGAACUAAUUGAGAAUGCAUAGUAGAUGAAAGAGGCGAAAACGCACUUCCUAACUCCCACUUACAGAGUCCAUGUCCAGGUCUUCACCCAUCCACGAAACGCCUCCGGGUCCCCAUUGUCCUCCCCAAGAGUUGAAUUCACAGAAUUCUGAGCCGGCGCGUUCUCACGCUGCCUUGGAAGGGGUAAACCUGUCCUUUUCCGCAUUCCUCCUCCUGAGCCAACUUUCUGACUGUCAAAUCCUCUAUGCCUUGUAGAACCUCAUUCUAGGGGCACCGGGGGAAACCUUGACUCAACCGCGUCUAACGACUGCGACUGGCCGCGACGAAACACCUCCGCACUUUUGGAGUAAUGCUAUAUGGCAUUUUUAGUUUCUUACAUUACGGAGAUUCAAGUUGGCUAAAGCCCAAUACCUGAACAGCCAGAUAUUACCGGUACAAUUUGCCAAACAACACUUUUUGUCCGUGGCAAAUGUGAAGAGAAAGGAGGGUUUUAGAGGUGCGCUCGCAUUGAUACCAGCACAAUCAUAACCGUGCAUAUUCAGGCAUGGUUGUUGCGUCGCGAGAGUUUUUCCCACCACCACUCCCCUGGAGUGCACGCAUCGCCUCGUUGUAGCCUUUGGCGCAAGGAAGUAUGCCUUCACUCAAAAGUCUAAAAGAAUAAAGCACUGCAGCCAUAAUUGCAUCGAAUGUUGCCAAAGAAGUCCGGUGGCCAACGGCUAACCUCCUGAAGACAGCUUGAGCAGCAAGGACGAAUGUACGCAACCACGAACAAUUUAGGUGCCCCGGUUUUACAUCAGCAAUAACGAUAAAUGGGGCGAAGCAGCUUUGGCUCGUAGAAAGACUGCUGUGAUGAUGGCCACACCCCUCCAUCUGCAGGUACACGUGGCUUAUCCGCAGUCACGCUGAUAUGUCCAAAUUUGCUUAUGCUUUGCCAUACAACGACCUCAUUCCUCAUAGCCCGCUGGCCCCAUGCGCCACUGCAGGACUGUCGCCCUUCACAAGCAUUACCCCACCCGGGUGGCCCUACACGCCAACCCUGCCUCCCUGUGCUUAAGACCCACCCUUGCCACGCCACCCCAUCCCCAGGUAAUCAACCACCCCGGCACCUCCGCCGUGACAGCGCUAUGCGUGGGUGUGUGGCUCUGGCUGCUGCAGCGGGGCGUGUCGCCCGCCGCCGUCGGACUCAGCUACCACCGCUUUGUGACUGAUCACCAAUGGUGGCGAGCACUCAUCUCCCAGGUAAAGACCAGUCCCCUUCACGUGAUGGGACGACGAGACGGGGGAGGCCGCGCCUGGAGGGCACACCACGCUGGCGAGUGCAAACCCUACAUUUGCUUUCUUCGCUGCCUUAGGCCACGGCUACUAUUGCUGCUGCUACUAAUGCGACUGCAGUGGCUCACGUGUACUACACAUAAUAAGUACGGCGCACUGCUGUAGCUGACGACUCCACAUGAUGCUAUCCUUCCUCACCUCGCUUGCCGCGAGCGCCACGUACACCUCCGUACAGCUCCUAAAAUCCCCGUCCUCACCGCGCUCCCCACACCUCCUCCCCGGCUCCCCAUAGCCACCCCCCAGCUCACAUUCAGCCAUGUUUUAAGUACCUUCAAAGCCACACACUGCACACAACAGCACCCCCAACCGCCCCUCCAACCGUCCCGCUCCUCUCUCCACAACCCGUCAACACCCACCGCCCGCUGUAACCCCCACCCACCCGUCUCCGCCCCUCACACCGCCAUCAUCCCCGGCUGAUCAGGGAGGGGUCUUGUCCCCGUAGCCCUGUCCCCGUAGCCCUGUCCCCGUAGCGCUGUCCCCGUAGCCCUGUCCCCGUAGCCCUGUCCCCGUAGCACUGUCCCCGUAGCCCUGUCCCCGUAGCCCUGUCCCCGUAGCGCUGUCCCCGUAGCCCUGUCCCCGUAGCCCUGUCCCCGUAGCGCUGUCCCCGUAGCCCUGUCCCCGUAGCCCUGUCCCCGUAGCGCUGUCCCCGUAGCCCUGUCCCCGUAGCCCUGUCCCCGUAGCCCUGUCCCCGUAGCGCUGUCCCCGUAGCCCUGUCCCUGUAGCGCUGUCCCCGUAGCGCUGUCCCCGUAGCCCUGUCCCCGUAGCCCUGUCCCCGUAGCCCUGUCCCCGUAGCGCUGUCCCCGUAGCCCUGUCCCCGUAGCCCUGUCCCCAUAGCCCUGUCCCCGUAGCCCUGUCCCCGUAGCGCUGUCCCCGUAGCCCUGUCCCCGUAGCCCUGUCCCCGUAGCCCUGUCCCCGUAGCCCUGUCCCCGUAGCCCUGUCCCCGUAGCGCCGUUCCGGCUCCCUUACACCCCUCCUUUAUCCUCCGAAUCCUCCCCUUUUUACCGCCCGAUUCUACCAACAUGUCCUACACCACGUCACCUUACCGUAACCCCCCAGAUCUGCCACUUUGAAUUGCUGCACCUGGUGCUCAACAUCAGCUCGCUGUGGGGCUUGGCAGCGCUAGCGGAGGGCGCACCGGCAGAAGAUUCAGCAUCAGGAGCAGCAAGGGGGCCCUCGCUGGUGCCUACCCUGGAGUACCUGCGGGUCAGCUUGCUGCUGUUGUUGACUUGCGCGGCGGUGAGGAGGAGUGUCACACGAGGGCAGGAAAUGUGAGGGGUUUGGGUUUGGGUGGGGGAAUCAGGGGGCGGAGGUCAGGUAGGUGUACGGAAUGUACGGAAAAGCGAAUGGGGGCUGCAGACUGCAGAAGGGGGGGGGAAGGGAGGGGGGGAAGUGUAUUAGGGCUGUUAGUCGGCGGUGGGUGGGUAUUGGAGGUGCUGGUCCCUUCCGUGCUUGUACACCGUGCCGGUGUGUCUGCCUGCAUGUUCUCGUCCGUCCGUACGUAUGUAUGUAUGUAUGACGUAUGUAUGUACGGUGUGUUGGUGUGUGUGUUUGUUGGUGUGUGUACAUGUACAGAUCUGCCUGGCGCUGCACCACGUCGCAGUGGCGGUUCUGGGCCUGGAGCGCUUCCGUCACUCCCUGCUGGUGGGGUACUCCGGAGUGCUGUUCGGCUGGAUGACACUGAUUGCCUGGGGGGAGUUCCGAGGUGGGUGCGGGUCGGUGUGGUGGAUAGGUGCGGAUAGGUGUGGAUAGGUGUGGAUGGGUGUGGAUAGGCUGCUGAUUCGUGAAUCGUCCUGACCGGAAUGCAGUAAUGAACCUUGCCACCUGAUCCGAGCUGAUGAUGUGGUUUGACGACGUGAUUUCAAGAUCGGACCUAGUCUUAUGUGCUUUUGGUUGAUACCACCACACACAUCGGGGGAGGGAGGGCGGGAGGGCGGGAGGAGGGGAGAACGAGCAAUGCCGUGGGCCCUCUGAUAUUUCACGUACCUAUUCUACCUUUUAGCUAAUCGGUGUUUUGUAGCUGCUAGGUACUAAGCCGAUGUAAUAUAAAUUUUGGUAACGAAGGUUGUGCGGCGUUUGUGUUGCUUUGCGCAAUGGUUAAUGCUGUCUGGGUGUGCCCGGGGCCUGCCUGCAAAUGCAUGGCGCAUUUGUACGGGCAAUGCCGUACAGGUGGUGGCCGCGGCGCGAGGUUCAGCCUGCUGGGGUGGUCUUCCGUGUCCGCGACUGUGGCCCCCUUCCUGCUGCUGCUGGUGACUCAGGCGCUCCUGCCGACUGCGUCUUUCCUGGGACACCUGUCAGGUGGGGGAGGGAGAGGGGGAGGGGAGGGAGAGGGGAGGGAGAGGGGAGGGAGAGGGGAGGGAGAGGGGAGGGAGAGGGGAGGGAGAGGGGAGGGAGAGGGGGGGGAAAGGGGGGGGGAAGGGGGGGGGAAAAGGGGGGUGGAAGGGGUGGAAGGGGGAGGGGGGAAAGACAAACCACGAACGAGUGAAGAGGAGGGGGAAGGGGAGGGGAGACUAGCGUCGGCCGGAGACCCGCGGGGCCCCCGGCGGCGGCGGCGGCGGCGGUCGGAGGCACUGGAGUGCUAGGGCCUAUGGUCUGGUGGUGGGGGCAAGGCGGGGGCCCGCGGCCCCUCGCACUCGCCCCAUGCAUCACUCGUGUCUCCCCAACUGCCAACUCCCACCUGUACCCGCGCGCUGGGUUUUCCGCCCGACAAGCUGACAUCAGCCCCCCCGCCCUCCCUUUCCCCCGUUCUAUUUUCCUCCCUCGCUCACGUCCCCCCCCCCCUGUNNNNNNNNNNNNNNNNNNNNNNNNNNNNNNNNNNNNNNNNNNNNNNNNNNNNNNNNNGCAUCCUUGCCGCGCUGCUGUUGCUGGCCAGCGGCUCACUACGCGGGAUGACCCCCUACUGGACUGCAUGUCUCCUGUUCUGGGUGGCUGUAGGUGCGAGGAUGACCAUGGGGGGAGAUGCGCCCACCCGGGAUCAGCCGGAGGGAUCAGACGUGGCAUAUGGCCUCUUCUUAGAGAGGCCGGGGAUUUCUGGGUCUUUUUUUAAAAAGGGUUUUUUUAGCACGGUGGCGGACUAGUAUGAUGUAGUAUCAGGACCGUGUACGACUCGUGUACGACCGUGUGGUUGCAGGUGUGUUGUACGGUCUCGCACUGGAGGGCCGCCUGGUAACACCUUACAUACGGCUCCUGCCGUACGGGAGUGAUGGCGUCAUCGACGGUGGCGAUGAGUCAGCAAGCCUGGCGGAGAGUAUGGAGCGCGGGGCGGCUGUCGUGGUUUCGGGGCCGGGUGCUGCAGCAGCCGGGCCGACGACUGCAGCAGCUAGUGCCGUGAUAGCGGCGGCGGCGCUGGCUGGUAUGGCAAGAGGUGUGGGUAUGACGGUGGUGGCAGUAGUCGCGCGGUUGCGGGCAUGGGCUUUCUCAUCUUGGCCAUGGCUCCGUGCGUCGCUUGCUGCUAGUAGGAGGGCUCCCUGGAGCCAGCUGCUGGGCCAAGGCGCCAGGGGCGAGGCCACGGCGGCGGCGGCGGCGGCGGGUGCUACAGCUGCAUCGGGACCGGCACUUCCCUGGGGUGCGACCGCUACAGCUGUGCCGCCGCCGUGGCCAGCAGCUCCGGGCAGUAGCUUUCCCAGCCGUGUACGGCAGUAGCAGCUAUGUACGGCAGGUAUCCUGCGACCGGCGCUUACGUCGGUUAGGAUUUGCUUGUGUGUUUUUAUUACCAGCUUUGGAUGAGGGAUAUGGAAUAUGGAAUUGAAAUCUAGUGAGGGUCGAAUCAUUCUCUCUGGUCAGACGCGCUGUGGCCAUGCGUCAUGAGUACGACAAACGUCGUGUGGGCGUCGUGCAGUUUGCUACUGUGGGGAGAUGCUGGUUCCGGAGCCUGAUCAUGUUAAUCACAGUUUCGUGCUUGUCACCUCGUGCGCAGACCACACUAAGUGUGUAUGUAUGUAUAUAUGUGCAAGUACGUAUAUGUAUGUGUGUAUACUUGGAUAGUAGCACGAAUAUCAGCAAGCUCUUGGAGGCGCUGGACAAAGCGCAAAGGUACAACAAGUUUGCCGUCUCUUUACCUCUUAGUGAUCUGUCCCGUUUAUGAAGCAUGAGCGCCGCCGUGCAGACAGACAGACAGACAGACAGACAGACAGACAGACAGACACACGACAGCAUGCCACAUAGCAGUACGGCCUUAUAUACAUACAUACACACGUCAGGUCAGGCACUACUGCGCACCAAUGCCCCCAGGAGAUCCCGGGAUCAAGACCUGUCAAGGUCGAAAAUCCUUCCGAUAGUGGAAGGUAAAGUGCCCCUAGUUGAUGGACGGUGGUGACCUGGGAUAAAGUGAACUUGCGGGCUGACUAGGAAUGGAGUUGGGCCGCUGUCGAUCCGGCAGAUUCCGUUGGAUGCUGGUGGUGGGUGCGGAACUUGAGCGAUCCACGCAGAAAUUGAAUAGGGUGACUGGAUGAGGGUGCCCCGAAAUACCGGGGAAGGCAGGGUUUCGCCAGGUAGCGGCCACGGGUGAAGAUAUACCCCCCUGUCCCACACAUCAUACAUACCUACAUACAACCGUUCAGGUUAGUGACGGUAAGGGGGAGGCGCCGCGCGGGCUACAAUCCUCCCCCUGCGGUUUUCUGGAGGGUCUAGGAGCUGUGUGUCGUGGCAACGCUAUCGCUUUUGUGGUUUCGCCGGUCUAUCCCGGGCCCCGGCAGUGGUGUUCAGGCUUGUGCGGGAUCCCUUUUCUUUAUAUGGCUACUUCUCCCCUGGACCAGCCCAGGAAGGGACAGGUAGAGGGGGUCAGUUGUUGUAAGGUGGCUGCAAGACGUCUUGUGGUGUCGAGCUCUCUUAGCCAUUCUUUCUUGGAGGUUUUUCUUUUUUGGCUUGUUAGAUGUAUCAGGAGCCCUCCCCUGCCGGGACUGCCCUAACCGUAUUUUUAUUUUCUGUUUUUUUUCCCUUGGAAUCCCGUUGUCGUUGGUGGUGUUUUUUGGGGGUUGUUUCAGAGAGCCUUUGACUUUGCCCUAGCUGAGACUUGUGGACUCGCUCUAGCGGGACCUGAGAGCCCUUCGUGGUGUUUUCACUGCAGCGCCAUCCCCGGAUGGAGUGGCUGCGGAGUGGCUGCGUAGAGUGUUGGCAGUGUGAGUCGGGGUCGGGAGCACACAAGACUAACCGACUUGUGCUGUGUGCUCCCGACCCUUGCGCUGUGUUUCGGCUUCGGCCCCCGGCUCUCGCGGCCCACAGUGUAAUCUAAGUCAUACAUACAUACAUACACAGUUUCUAGGUCAGCUUGUCCCAGUCAAGGAAUACCCAUCAUCUUUGAAGGACGCCUUGCCCCAGCACGCCUCACACAUCACUACCCGUCGUCCUCCCCACUAUCACUAUCACUAUCACUAUCACUAUCACUAUCACUAUCACUAUCACUAUCACUAUCACUGCCAUCAUCACCAUCACCAUCACCAUCACGAUCAUCAUCACUUUCGCCUCGCAAGACCCGCUGCCCGCACCUCCCUCCGCUCCCCAGUGUACCGCCUGGAUGGUCACAGUCUGCUGAUAGCGGUCCCCACACGGCCCUGACUCGGACUCAAAUCUGCUGUCGACUUCGUCCUGACCACCGCAGUCGGUCGCCAUGAUCCCCGGCCCCCUCCACAACUUAAGUCCCCCUCCACCAGUACCCCACCACGAACCAACACAGAGUAGUCAGACACCUCCCUAGCUGUAGCGAAGUGCUGAGCAGGGAUGUCCCUUCCAGCCCCUGCUUUUGACGUAGCUACUGCCGUCAUCGCAGCAGCUGUCGGUUGGCGCAGCAGUCGCUGUUGCUGCUGCUGUUGCUGCUGCUGUUGCUGCUGCUGUUGCUGCUGCUGUUGCUGCUGCUGUUGCUGCUGUUGCUCAUUCCCCUGCGGCUGUACUGAGAGCAGAUGGGGCGAUGGCGGCGUGGAGACGCUCCUAGAGGCCGGUUCCGGAGCCGUCGCCGCUGCUGCCGCCUGAAUGAAGGCCCUCGCCACGGCCAGUUGGGCCCCCUGGAGCGCUGGUAUGACGUGGCCUGGGUAGCGCGGGGGGUGGUGCGGGGGGAGGUUGAGGAAGGGUUUGGGAAACGUAAACCCUCCAGGUUGAAGGUGUUCAGCCACUUGGGGGGUAAGGGCUGGUGAUAAACACCUCCACUGCAGAGAAACACACGUCCUCCUUGUUCUGUCCAACCCUAACAUGUCCCCGCGCUUCUUGCCGCCUCGGCUGGCUGCUUACUAUCCUUGUCUAGCCGUCCUGGCCUAGCUGGGCUUACUGUCCUGGUCUAAUCGCUCAAACGCGGCGGCUGGGAGGCAACAGUUCGCAGUUCCCAUGUACGCACACAACGCAUGUCAUCCAUGCACAACACCACACGCAACCAACCCGCUAUUAAUGGCCAGUGGCGAAGACAGAGAACGAAAGGGAACCAAAUGCCGUACAUCCGUACCUCUUUGAUGCAGCAGCACAGUUGCGUUCUGAAAAGCGUCCGCCAGCUCAACACAAUGUGGCUACAGCGGGCGAGUAGGAGAGGAGGCGGGGAGAGGACUGAUUGUUCUCAAGGUCAUAACACUGUGAACCUGUUAUGGGGGACUCUGCCCCGUGCUGGUCUGCGAGCUGCUCAUGUGUCGUACAUAUGUGUGAGGACACGAACACGAAAUCCCCGUGUGUGCGUCCCCCCCAACCACAUUAAUUCAAGUCGCUCGUUGAGCAGCACAGCCCACCACCACCACAAGGUACUACGACCCGCAAGCCCAAGCCCAAGCAAAAGCCAGCAGCAGCACUCGACCCCUCAUAACACACAACGCAACCCUCCAACACCCGCCCACAGACGACAACAUCCUCACGUUUUUCAGCGCGUCCUUGUCGCCGUACACGUGCAGUGAGGGGCAGGGCACCUUGCCCGAUAGUUCUUCGAAUGCCGCCACAUGGUCCGGGUGACGGCUCUGUGGGAGGGGGGAAAAGAGAAGGAGGAGGGGGGCCGGUUCACACGUUUGGAAGCACACCCGAAGGGAAGAAGCGGGCAAGGUCUAUUUCCUACUCGCUCCGUUUUCUCCACACGACCGAUAUUUCCUCCUCCUCCCCUCUCCCUCUCCUCCUCGUUCUUCUCCCCCGCCGCCGCUGCCGUCGCCGUCGCCCCACGUACCUUAAUCCCAGCAAAGAGAAUGCAGAAGCGCAGCGGCGCCACUGCGGAGAGCUCGGGUCGAACUCCUGACCUCUGGAGCGCUACCAGGGCUGCCGACAUGGCGGCGCCCUGCGGGCCGUCGAACCCGGGGUUCCGCGGGGUGGGGGGAGGGGGUGCACGCGGGGCAGCGGAGUGGGCUUCCCUGUGCAGGCUUUGUUACCUGUGUGUGCGUGUGUAUGUCUCUAUGUUGCCCUGACAUUGUGUGUGCGUCUGGAAGCGUGAUGGGGGUCAGUCUCUUGCCAGGGAGGAGGAGUGCUUGGUGGUGGUGGUGGUGGUGGGAUGAUGGCAGAUUUGGCGCAACUGUUUCCAAAUGCUCGUAGGAGCCUCCCGAGGCACCUGGCUUAUGCCGGUUGUGCAGCCGCAGCAGUAAGACCAGCAUAGGGGCACAAUUCCCCCCUGCUGUGCUCUGGUGGGUUGGGGCCAGCGCUCUCUUUUUUCAGGAAGGGGAAUGGUUAGGUGAGAGCUCCGGGUGAGGUGGGGUUGGCACUACAGAGUGAUCAGUACGUCGUCAAAUAGAAACACAACGCAGCACAGCGCAGCACCCACCUGGGAGAAGCCCAUCACACCAUCAAAGGGCCCUCGCAGGGCCAACUGCGCCGUCAGGAAGCGCUCCGAGGCCUUGCCGUGCGAUGGUGACGUCAUACGGUGGCACGGCGGCAGGGAUUGUGCAACCAGGUUAGCGCGACCAGGGAAUGCAAUGAGCACGUACGUCCCCAGGUACCAAAGAAGCUAAGAGGUUACCGAAACUAAAAAGAUGCUUCCCCCAACCUCUGGGGGUGGAGGUUCGGGUUUGGGCACGGAGGGAGGGCGGGUGUAGUAUCCUGGGGGGCUUAUCACGGUAUCUGCAUCCGCCGAUCAGUACUUUUCUGAAGUCGUGGCAUCACAGAGGGUGGGAGAUGAGGGCAGCUACCCGCCAUAGUGGUCUGCCAUGAACAUGCACGUGCAAGCAUGUGUCUCUGUGUGUGUGUCUGUAUGUAUGUCUGUGUAUGUGUGUCUGUGUGUGUCUGUGUGUGUAUCUGUGUGUGUGUGCGUAAUUUGUAACACCCUAGCAGGCCGCUCUCCCCGCCCACAUCUCCUCCAGCGGCGCUUCCAGACGGCCCCACGGGUCGCAACCAUGUCUCCACGUCUCACCCCCCUUACACACACCCCUUACCAGGUCAUCAGACCCCCACCUGCAUCUUCACUUCGUCGAACUCCAAUCGAUCGCCCUGCGUGCGUUCGCAAGGAGGUGGGAGGUGGAGGUGGAGGUGGAAGUGUGAGGUGUGUUAGUGGACGAGAAUACAGGGCGGUGCAGGCAGUACAGACAUUACAGGCCUUUAUUACUCACGACUUCCCGUUGUUGCAGUGUCCUCCAUUGUCCAUACACACGCACACACAGAGGCAGACAGGUGGACAGACGAACACAGACAGACAGACAGGCAGGUAGACAGUCAGACACACAGAUGGGGAAACUCACCACAGACUCCACAGUGAACCACUCAUAGUACGGUCCUCCAAAGUACGGCCGUACGUCACGGGGAAUAGGUCCACUUGCAGGGUGCGGCCCAUCUAUAAACGUCUGCGACAAGUUUCACCCGAAACGGGGCUAUGACGGAUAAGGUGCGGUGUCAUGAGCUAAGGAAAUGGUUCUUAUAAUGACAAUAUCGCCGUAAAACAACAUAACGUUUCAUAACAUCCCAGAGCACGGCGAAAUCCUGGUGGCUGGUCGCAUUGUCUGCAAUUAGUCAGUCAACAAACAGAAUCCGAGGCAUUCCUAGAAGUGUGAUCACCGUUGUGGCCUACGGGCUUGAUCAGAGCUGUAGGUAUGCUCUUUACAAGGCGCUGUACGCAAGUUACACACGGCCAAGCCGGCAACGAAACUUACAAACUCGACCAGGUCCGACAAAGCCUCCAAGAGUCCAGCUCUUUGCAGCUAUUGGGCAACGCAAAUUUAAAAGUGUUUGCGCGGGGUGUAGAGAGUGAAGACAGGGGAGCGCGGUUCUGUUAACUGUGGCGAUGGGCAGCAGUACGAGUGCAGUGUGGACCGGGGCAAGGAUGGCCGGCAAGCUCUGUUGGGUCCGGAGCUAUACAUUACAUAGUUCAGUUGAUAGGUUUUGAAAUGGCAAUGAUAGCAAUAAGGAAGGAUAGGGGUUGGCAAGGAGAGGAGCGUUGCGGCCAUGGCUUACUUGCUGCUGGAAGAUGGCUCCACUGGUGCGAAAAGAGUGGAGACACAGAACCCGUAGACGGGCCUGCCUUGAGGAUUCCUUGGUUUCGGUCAUGUUGGUCGGAGCCGCUUUGCGCCAGGACGAUCUGUAAAACUUGCCCGCGCGGGUUAUGUGGUGUUACAACCGAGGUCAGAGCGAAGAGCUGUUUUGCCAGGUCCUCAAGGCAAUAGUAACAUAAAUUAUGAAAGAUAGAAGUUUUCUCGGAGUCACUGCUGAGGCUGUGUCAUUGCGGCUCCUUACGCUACUUAACCUACUUUACGCAAAGGCGGUUGCCCUCAGGCCAACGGCAUGUAACGACCUCCCAGUGCAAGCUUCUCCGAUGCACACAUUGCAGUAGCAUUAUAUGCGUAGGAAGGCUCUGAAGCUGGCAUUUUGCAAGUGGCUAAGCCUGGUUUCAUCGGGGCAGCAUAUCCUUCCUUGCUUUCUGUUCGUCCUCCUCCUUAAGUGCUUUGUUGUUGCCAAGGCAUGUUCAACUAUCCUAUAGGCCAGAGAACAUAAGUAACAAUAUUGCCGUGUGUUAGAUCGUUUGUCAGCUUGCUCCGGGAGUAAACUUACAGGCUGGGCAUGGCCUGGCGUUACGCCUGCAAUAUUCCUACGUAUAUAACCGGAAAAGAUGAAAACGGAGAACAUGUCGUGGUGGGUUUGCGUUUAGGAGAGGUUCCAUCUAGUUCCAUUUCUCCGGGUGCUCACUUCGUUUCCUCCACCGCAGCUAUACAGAAUUAACGUCUUUUUUCAGCAACAAAGUCCUGAUGGCUCAAGUAACGGCGGCAACAAAGAGGCGCCUGGAACGGACUCGGCACCCUUCUUUGUGUUGCGCCGUUACAGCCAGUUCCGUCACCUACAUGACCAGGUUGGCAUGGGCCGCAAAGGCAAAAACCGUUACCCCUAUAUCCCUUUUUCUGAGGCAACCCGAAAUCAAGUGGCAGUGCGCCGAGCGAAACACAACGAAACACCUGGCCUCCAAAGCACGUGCGCUUUUAUUCACAGCAGGCGGCUCCGCUUUUUCCAUUUUUCCUUCUUCCCUUCACCCUCCUGAGGCAUCUUUCUCUCCCAUUACUUCUACUUUCCUACCGACCCUCCCCCACCAAACCCAAUCACCUGAGCCCCUGGCCAAGCUUAAAAAUCUCUCUCCUCCGGGCAGACUGGCCGCAUAAUUGGGGUCAGCUUGCUCGUUUCCACCUUGCAAUUAAACUUGUCUUAUCUCUACCCCUGCUUAGGGUUCCCAAGCUCCGCCCGCAUGUCGUACUGUACUGCAGUUGAAGGCCGCCUUCCCGGCCGUCAUGUCGGGGCGGGGCAUGGCGCCUCCACCAAAGCAUCCGCUGGUUCUCGGUCUGGGGGCCGACAAGCGAGACUCGCUGGAAAGGCGGCGUGUGGAGCUGGAGCGCUGGCUGUGGCGGUUGGUGGGCACGCAGGAUGUGGCCCGCGGGCCGCAGCUCAAGUCCUUUUUAGAGCUUGAUAAGGCCAUUCUUCGCGCGCAGAAGCAGCAACAGGAACAACAGCGGCAGAGGCUGGAGCAGCAACACCAGCAGCAGCAUUCCGGGUGAGUUUGCUGGAAGGGGGGCCCGGGGGGAAAUGGUCGGUUGAGUUAAAAGUGCUGAAGCUGUACCAGGUAGCUGUGACACCGGCUGUGUGCGGUGUGCUGUUCGGGUGGGUGCCCCGACAGAGCUUACCUGGGCAGUUUUAUCGUCGCGUGGUUGAUCACGGUUGGUCAAAUCCCUUUCCCCCCACCCGCGCACGCACGCACGCACCCCGCUCAAAACCUGUUCUCCUCCGUGUUCUCCCCCUCCUCCUCCUCAUUAUCAUCAUCGUCAUCAUCAUCAUCAUCAUCAUCAUCAUCAUCGUCAUCAUCAUCAUCAUCAUCAUCAUCAUCAUCAUCAUCAUCAUCAUCAUCGUCAUCAUCAUCAUCAUCACAUUGGGGUUAGAUUGGCGCUAUUGGGUGGCGAUAUUAGAGGCCCGGACCUACCGCGGGGUAGCAGCAGUACAGCUCCCCCAUCUGAGUCGGGGUACGGCAUCAGCGGCCGCAACCACCACCAGCACCACCUGGCGACGUACCCCGGCGGCGGUGGCGGUGCCAGCGUCCUUGGCGACGACAGCGCCAGUGACGCGUCGGGUACCAGCGGCGCCGCCAGUACGGCGGGAGCGCUGUCGAGCGUGACGCCGGCGGCGAUGGCGGCUGCGGCGGCGUCAGCGGGUCUGGCAGGAGCUAGUGGCGGGGCCGGCGGCGGCGGCGGACCUGGUUCGCAUUACUCGAUGCCUCCUGACCCACGGGUCAUUGCAUCUAGCCUGCGUGAGCACAAGAUGCAUGAGGUGAGUGGUCAUGAGCGACGCCCAGUGUCCGUCUGUCUGUGUGUCUGUCUGUCUGUGUGUCUGUCUGUCUGUCUGUGUGUCUGUCUGUCUGUCUAUCCAAACUGCAGACAUACCGGGAUUAGGCUCCGUCCGGUUGCAGUGCAUGUUACAUGUACGACUGUACGGAUGUGCGAAUGUAUUGCCACACUUCGCGGCCACCGCAGCAACACGGGGGACCGCCGGCGGCGGCAACAGCGAUGGCUCUGUACGGCCCGGGCGGAGCUGGCGCCGCUGGUGCUGCCGCCGCGGUUCGCCUUGGCAUCAACCUGCAGAGCCGCGGGGACGUACGGCGUCUUGUCGACUUGCUCGUACAAAAGCUGGAUGUAGCCUGUGAGUACUUCGCGUGGGAUGGAGCCUCCGUGGGCCCAUGUCGUGCAUGUCGUACUCGGCGAUCAGUCAAUUCCCCAUGCAAUGGGUUGGGGCAGACGAACAGCAUAUCGGGAGGUUAGUUGUGUGUAUACGCGGCGCGUGCCUUGCCCUCCAUGGAAUCGUGCUGCAGUACUGGUGGUGGCCCGGGGGGCAGUGCUGGGGCUGUGUUCAGAGGGCGUCUUAGCCUUUCUAAAGGUCCUACACACAUACACACGAUAUCUCUCUCACGGCUCUUUGCUGCGCCGGCCCCCUCCUUGCGGUCGUUGGCCGGGACUGCGCCCUCCCGUCCCCCCCUCCCAUCAACCCGUUCUCUCUCUCCUCCUGCUCCCCCCCUGGAGUAUCCGUCUAUCUCUGGUACAUGCUUCAAUCGUCAGUGGUUCUUCUUACCUUCUGUCCCUCUCCCCCUCGCUCUCUGUGUUGCUACUGCUGCUGCUGCUACCGGUCCGAAGGCUCCGAAGCCGCUUCCGCAGCCAGCGAAGUGGCCAUGCUGCGGGACGCCAAUCGAGCCAUGGCGGAGCGGCUCGGGGAGCUCGAGCUGGAGAGGGCGGACAGGGAGGUACAAGGGCCUGCGGUACAGCAGGUGGGUGGGGUGGGGGGGUUUUGCGCGGGCUGGAAGCCCCCGACAGCGUGAAGGCGUGUAUGUAGACGCCGCUCUUCAGCUUUUUAGCUUCGCGUCCCACUCACAGCUCGGAUGUCUAAACACGCCUCAGACGCCGCUUAUACACGCACACGUGCACACGCAGGCCCGUGCGAUGCUGGCGGAGUCUGAGGCGGCGCGGCUCUCCCUGGAGCGACGAGUGGCCCAAUUGGAUGAGACACUGGCCAGCCGCAGUACGGCACAUGCGCAGCAGGCAGGGGGGCAUUGUGGUUGCUGGUUGCGGUUGCUGUUGCUACUGUUGUUGCUGUUGCUGUUGAUGGAGGCGCCAUCACCAUCAUCAUCAUCAUCAUCAACAUCAUCAUCAGCAGCAUUAUCAGUAGGAGGAGUUUAAAGGAACUCUUUCCGCAACAAUACGAUUAACGCACAUUGAAUGGAUGGGUGGGUCUCAGCAGCGGCAUAGCGGUGUGGGCCCACGUAAGAUUACGAAUGUCCAGAGGGGCUGCACCCGGGGACAACAGCCCCCCUCUGCCAACGCCUGCAUCAGGAGCAAGUGCUGCUGCCUCACAACUACACACCUCCCCCGGGGGGGCCUAUGGAUGCGAUGAUGAACGGUUCGUCUGUAGACGCUAUCUGUACGGUAUUCACUGACAGCUGCUGGGCACUUGAACUUUGCAAAGUCAGUUCAUCGCGCAUUCAUGACCCACAACCGACCCAUAAAACACACAUAUACGUACAUACGUACAUACACACACAACCGUCGGGUACAACGGUUAACCGCAAAGUAACGGUUUGGAGCCGUUUCAGCUCCUUGUCGGUUGCAGCGGUCGCCUCAUAAACCCUCUUGCCACGUCGGCAGUCGUAUCAUUUGCCAACUUUUACACACACAUACAUACAUACAUACAUACAUACAUACAUACAUACAUACAUACAUACAUACAUACAUACAUACAUACAUACAUACAUGCAUACAUACAUGUGAACCCCCUUUCCUUGCCCUCCCCCCCCCCCGGGUCCCCAGGUUGCUCAACUGCACUCCCAACUGCUGGAGGCGCGGACCGACAACACCGAGCUGUUGCGACGGCUGCAGGAGUGGGACGUGGGGGGCAGCACCUCCGCGGUCGCCCUCGCGGCGGCGGAUCAGCGGGCGGAAGAGCUGCGACAACAGCUGGACGAGCAGCAACAACGGUUGGACGAGCAGCAACAACGGUUGGACGAGCAGCAACGACGGAUGGCUGAACAGCAACAACGGUUGGACGACCAGAAAGAACUGUUGGACGAGCAGCGGCGUCAAAUGGAUGAAUUGCUGAAGCGGCUGGAGGAGCAGGCUUCGCAUGGCUGCGGCGGCGGCGGCGAAGCUGGGGCCCAGGGGAAGCGGGAGGAGGAGGAGGAGCAGCGGGGGUUGGCAUUACUCCAUGACCGGGUACGGCAGCUGUCUCUUGAGCUGGAGGAGGCCAAGGCCCGCGCGGGAGAGCUCCAGGGGAAAUUGGAGGAGCAGCAGCGGCAGCUUGUAAGUGUGUAUGUAUGUAUGAAUGCGUGUGUGUGUGCGUGUGUUCGGGGGAAAUAGACUUGAAAGAGACCUGGGGGUUGGGGGUGAUUGGAGGGCUCUGCGGCUCUGCAUGAGUUCUGUGAAAGAAUUCGUCAUGUCUGGCUCUCCGCCAUACGCGUGCUGCUGCUGAACGGGCUGCUCUCACGGUCCACAUCUCACUGUCAACCACCCCCCCCCCGGUGUGAAGGCCCGCGAGUCCGAGAGGAGAGAGCGGGCCGAGGCGGCGGCUGCACGCCAGCCAACCCCUCCGGCCACAGUCCCCCAGCAGCCUCAGGCGCUGCUGGAGAGGGCUCGUGCGGACAAUGCGCUGUUAGCCCAGGAGGUGCAGAGGCUGCGGACGGUGGCGGUGGCGGAGCGAAAGGCCCACGAAGCGGCGCUGGCGACGCACAGCCAGGCCAGUGCACAGCUAGCGGCGCGGGUACGGCAGCUGGAGGCGCAGCUGGCGGCGGCUGCUGCGGAGGCGACGCCACCUUCGGCGCCGACACCGACGCAGGAGUUGUUGCUGCUGUAAACUUCAACCCCUUGAACGCUUGUUGUGCUGCUGGUGCUGGUGGUGGUUGUGUAGUGGUUGUGUGGUGGUUGUGUGGCUGAUGGUGGGUUCAAGUGUCGCUGCGGAGGGCUUGCUGACUACGGCAGGGUGAUGUGGUGACGGUGGGCCUGUGGCGGACUUGUGGCAGGGGCUGUAUCGUAUGGCAUGGGGGGGGAGAAAUGUGUUGGUGUUUGGGCAGAGGCAGACGUAGCUUCUGGUGUUGCUGCUGGGUAGUUGGGAGUUGGCGGUUUGGCUCGUUAACACGGAUAAUGAGUCGUGUUGCCCUUGCCGGUUAGCAAGUCGUGGUGAGGCGGUGGAGGUUGAUACCGAAUCAUGCACCUUGUCGUGCACAAUCGAUUGCAUAUAUGAUAUGGUCGUGCAGUUAUUUUCUGGGGCAACCAGCCCCUCUCGCCCCCAGAACUCCUUCUGUGAGUACAUCAACAGCAGUGUGUACCAUAAAUACAUACAUACAUAUAUGUACAUCAAUGUACAUCAAGCAACAUCGCUUUAUGUAAUACGGCUCCGGACACAACGAAUAUGCUAACAGUUGCGGCACAUUGUCCCUAGAAAAUUCCAGAACCGUUCUUGACAAAGGGUGGGACAAAAAUCUCUCUACCGUUUAGAGGUUGGAUGGAAUGACCCCCCACGUUGAUGAGACGGUGAAUGGCAUAGGUGCCAUAUGGGGGAAUCUGCUAGACUUGAGAGGAAGGACCUGGAGGGAGAAAAGUCCGCGUAAGUCGGUGCGCUGAGGUAAUCCGAAGGCUGUGUGAGGGUACCCCAGACUGUUGGGUAGAAGGUGGCAGGGACUGCCUGGCUAGUGGCCCCACGGGUGAAGCUAUACCCCCCUCGCUGCUUGCGGGUUUUCACACGCCUUGCUUGCUGUUCGCAGGAGGUUUCCACAGUCAUACAACAUUGCGGUUAAAUGGAUGAUUACCCUACUCUCUUCUACUUCCACACAGUGUGAGCAGCCACUAACUGUUUGGAGAGCAACCGGAGGAGGUGGGGGGGAGGUAGCCUGGAUGCAUGUCGGGUCCCUGUUUCCCGGGCCUUCAAAUAAAAUGAAAAAAUGCGCGAUUUCGUUGUUUUUUAGCAAUUUCUUGUGAAGAUAUGUAAAAGCGCUCACGGAAAAGAGCUCCUUAACGACGCACAAAGUCACCAACCAGAUCCAGAUCCAGAUCCAGCAUUACGUGAAUUCAAAAUAGUUACCGGGUCCGCCAGAGCAAAAACCGACCUGGCGUGUAUGGUUACAAUCGCACACUCGUUUCGCAAAUCGUUUUCCCCCCCCUCGACAUCUCCCCCGGAGGACACCACUCCCCACUUCACUUCGUAAAUCAAUUCUGGGAAUAUGUUUGUCCCCGCGCUGCAAGCAAUCGGCCUCAGGGGAGAUCCCCCCGAUCGGCAUACUGGCUUGACAACAGGUGCGGGCACACACACACACACGCACACACACACACACACACACACAAUAUCAGGCGGCAUCCAUUCCGUUGUCGGUUGUUGACGUCAUCCCGCACCUUGCCAAAGGGAUUUUAAAAAGCCGCAGGCGCUGCGGCACGUCUUCAUUUUUCUACAGAGAUUAACCCCCCUCCGGGACCGCAUGGGAUACGGGUACGGGGACCACCCAGUGCUCGCUCUUUUCGCCCAGCCACGAUCAUCACGAUGUCACCGCUCUGAGAGGAUGCCAGCCGGCCUCAUCUCCUGCACGUUCUGUAUUCGCAUAUACUACCCCUAAUACUACUUUUUUUAUUUGGCCAUCAUUGGCUGCUUAAUUAGGCCAGCCGCCCAGUACAAGUACAAGCCAGGAAAACGGGAAAACGGGAAAAGCAACAUAGUCCACGUCACAACGAAAAGCUGCAACACCUAACCGAUUUUGCCAAAGGCCCUUCAGCCAAAUUAGGAAUUAAAAAUCCUAGGUGUGAUAAUGAUGAUCGAUGCACUUAUUUGCCAAACGCUCAACAUCGCAGCUUGGGAAAAUGUUUUCAAUUUUAAAAAAUUUAUUACGAUGGCCAUGGCUUGUCGGGUGCCCCAGACUGUCGGAUAUCUAGAGCAUACUCAUGAAUACAUACAUAGUCCAUGUGCUACGUGCCCGGUGAACUUGGCACUCAACAAUGUACCCAACCCCCCGCAGCGGUAUAUGAGAAGUACUAAAAAAACCUUCUGGCUUUCAGUCUGCACACAGCCCCUCUAAUAGCAACAUGUACAUUCAAACCAACCUUCUUUCAACCGGCCAUGCAUGCCGGCCAACCCAGUGACCGCAUACCUCAAUCGUUCUCAUCGCAUUCACAGAUAUACAAUCAUUCAGUCAGUCAGCUCCAUCGCAUUCAUCCAUCCCCCUAUCCCGGCCAAUCAAUUUGCAUUAUUUGCUCUCAAACCACAACGUGGAUCGAUCGAUGCGCACAUAGACGCGCACAUGGACCGAUCGAUAAAGCCCGACCCAGCUGGCAGUACCGCAAGACCGCAGGGUGGUGAGCUAGUUGGUGAGCUGUUUCGCGUUCCGCCAUUCUGUGAAGCGCAUCGUUUUCAUUUUUUCAUCAACCCAUCCGUUGGUCGUCGUCGGUCCUUUCCAUCUCCUCCAUCCCUUCGACCAGUGGUGGCGGCUUUCUCCUCUGUUUCUAUUUCAAAAAGCGGCCCCCGAAAGCGGUGCAGGACACACUGGGAGGACAGCAACAGCCCAGUGGGAAACGUUAACCGCCUGCUAAGGCGCUGGUUAAUCGGGGCGCCCGUUCUUAGGUCUGUCCGCCUGUCUAGUUGUCUGUCUGUCUGUCUGUCUGUCUGUCUGUCUGCCUGUCGGUGUGUAUGAGUAUAUCACUUCCCGACCCAGUUCAAGCUGUUAUUGAGUACUCUCUUAUGGUUAAGCUCCUGGGGGGCCCAGCCCCCACCCUUCACUUGCCCCACCAGUAGGUCGGGUACCGCCGCCGGGCACUGAGGUUGUUGACAACCAUGGCCACCACCAGCAUAGCUAAGCAACCGAAAAAUACAGUUAGUACGAACUUGAAGCCGUACCAAGGGCCGAUGUACAGAGCUGAAGAUGCAAUGAGCGCGGACGCGCCGCCUGUGGUUUGUUGGUUGGGAGUUAGCAGUUGAAGGUUGGGCGGCAAUAGGUCCAAGGAGGGGUACGCCCGCAAUGACAGGGCCCCCCCCCCCUCACACACACCCGGUCUGUACGGAGCUAUACACACCUUACAAACACGGCCCUUCCCUGUACCCCAACAUAAAUGCCCGUACCCGUACCGUCGUACCCCUGUUCGUAUUCCCGUACCUGGCGGAUGUACGGUACGUGUUAUCUGCAUGACCGCCAGUGCCAGCGACAUCCCCAGCGCUGCCGACAUCCACACCAGCCCGGGCGCCCUCAUGAACGCCAAGCGGACCAGCACACCCACCACCGCGGAGACCACCUGGCCGCCUGGGUGUGUUAGGUGGGUGCGGCCGGGUGGGGGUGUUUGGGGGGGGAAGAGAGUGUGUGCGGGGGGGGUGAGGCGAGGGGCGCACAGACACGGGGAUUCUAUGACAGCAUCAAGGGCGCUGAGCUCACGCAGGACACCCUCCCCCCCAGGCUCCUAACUGCUCUAGCCGCCACCCUGGCAUACCGCCGCCCUCCCCCUCCUCUGCCAGUACCCACCUAGGAAGUUCCUCGGCUGUGCCAGCUUGGACGCGGGCACCCCGAACAGCAGCACGGCGGAGGCUCCGAAGGAGGCGAUCAUGAGGGGCAUGCUGACGUGCGGGCUGAGCAGGUCCAGGGGGGGGGGGAGAGGGGAGUGAGGGGGAGGAAAACACACGUGCAAAGUUGGUGGGGGAGGGGGCGGAAUGGACAGAAUGGGUGCGGUAACAGUAACAGCAGUAGCAGUAGCAGCAGCACCCAGCCAAGGCUAAAGCCGCUCCACGCGCUGCCUUCGAACGUCCGACCGCCCCGCCUGAACAUCUCAACCCCGUACGCCGCCACGUGACUGCGCCACACCCACAUCGAGUCAAGAAAGUCAAUGUGUACUGGACACAUAGUGUACGAAUAAAACUGCCGUACACUUACGUCAGGUACUGAUUCAGUACGGCAACGACCAAGAUGGAUAGGAAGGAACCCAGCCAGGACCAAAGUAUAUCCACGGGGUGGUCCGCCGGCAUCAACGUGUCGCCGACGCCGCGCCAUUUUGAAAAGUACGACGUCAUGCGGCCGCGCAGCGACAGCGACAUGCCCGCGGCCGCGACGGCGGCGUCAGGUGCCGCCGGUGAGGCGGAGGCGCCGGACAGGAACGCCGCCGCCGCGGCUGCGUGCGUGCUGGGCGUGCCGCGCGGGCCUUUCAUCUCCAGUACGACAAACGGACCGUCGGCGGUGAGGACUUCAGCGCCGUCGCUGCCGCGGUCGCCGCCAGGAGCCUGUACGGUCACUGUACGGUCACCCGCGAGAGUUCUUCCGUCCGGCCGUACACUGCCGCCACCGGCGGUGCCCGUCGGGGCGCCCACUGGUCGGCUGCCGUGGAUGGGUUGGGGAGGUUCGCCGUACAAGAGCGGCGAACCAUCUUGCUGCUGUUUCGCCUGCAGGUGCUGAUGCUGACGGGGAUGAUCCAGGGAGGGGUCGUACUCGAAGCUCAUGGGGUUCCGUACGUCGUCAGGGCCGAUCUGGGCGGGGCUCGCCGCCGACCCCGGCGGCCACGGCGCAGGGCCGACGACGUCAAGGUCGCCUGCAGGAGCGCCGGCGGCGGCGGGAGCGGUCUUGGCGCCGUCGCUUCGUUGGGGCAUCAUGACGAGCAACGGCUCUGCGGAGGCAGCGGAGGCGGCGGCCGCGUCCUGCGGCGGCGGAGGCUCCGUUGAGGUUCGGUACUGGCGGGCCUUGUGUACGAACGUGUCGGCGGCGCCGGGGAGCUGUAGCAGGUGAUGCAUGGGCCCGAGGAAGUCUGUGGACCUGGACGUCAAGGUCGGCACCGGGGGCCCCUGCGGCGCCGGCUGCUGCUGCUGUUCCUGUUCCUGUUGUUGCUGUGGAUCCUGGGUGCCGUACGAGUACGGCAAGUGCAUGGGCAGCUGUUGCGGGUGCCGCUCUGGCGCUCCCAACACAAAGGGGAGUGGGAAGGUGGGUGCCGGGAGAGGCUGUAGCGCCGGCAGAGGUUGCCCUGGGACCCGAUCUGAGACCUGGUGGUUUCGGAGCUGAGUAUCAGCUGCAAACUCAUCGCCCCAGCCGUGGAGGCUCCCAGAACGGGGUUCAGGUCCCGCGUAACCGUUGGCGCAGCCGCGUUGCACCGGCCAGGCAGCUCCAUCUGGAUCCGGAUCGUGCAUUUCCGUUGGGAUUUUCAACUGAUUUGGAUCCAGGGCGCCACCCUGUGCGGGUUGCGGAGGGCACCUGAGGGUGCUGAGGGUCGUUGUGUCGCGCUGUAGCUGCUGCGGGGUGGCGCUGCGGCUACUGCCGUUGUCGCCGUUGCUUCCCCGAACGGUAUGUGAGUGCUGGCUGCGAGAGCGUGGUGGGUCGACCAAAUGCAGCGUGAGGAUGGGGGGGUUAUCUGGGGGCAAUGUGACCUCCGGAAGCCCGUCCACGGUGAAGAGGCUGCGAUGGGAGCCUGCGCUGGCUGUGCUGCGACGGUCAACGCGGCCUGGGGCUGAGGCAUCGCGGUUGACCACCGCGCUAGCUGUGUUUCUUGUGUUAAUAGGGUUGGUGCCAAAUGCAUGGCAGCUUCGUUCCCAGUUUGAGGGCGCGCGGCGAGGAGGCGGCGUGAGCAGGCGCCAUGGGGAUGUGAGCACUCGGCGCAGGAGGUCAGGUCGACCAGGCGGCCGCGAGGGGAGGAGCUCGGCUGGAGUGGCGGGACGCGGUGCUACAUUAGCUGUGCUCGGUUCACAGUUGGUAAGGUCCGGUAAUGUUGCGUUUGCGACAUUUACGGCUGGUUUGGGUAAGCUCCCGUCCCAUAAUGCAUCAAUCGCAGUAUUCGCAGUUUGCAUGCCGGGUUUUAAUGGGAUUAUUUUCUUGGAUGAAAUAAAAUACACUUGAAGCUCUAAACUCCUAGGAGACGGGACUGCCCAACGGCUAACUGUGUAACUAGCCAGGAAAAGUGUCGAGGACUCGAGGUUUACGUGCACUCAAGCUGCAAUCCAAAGUUGCAAAACAAGUUAUUGGGUGUGUACAGCUUUGUGGUCCCAAAUAUUACGGAGAGACCAUCCACGUGGCUAUGUUUCGUCCUCACUGAAGAUGCUGAAAGCAGCGCCUAAUUGAAGGUUUCCAUCGUCACAGUGUAUUUACAUUUUGCAUUUUUCAAUUGCGUGCUCCAAAAUUCAGUUGGCCUACGAUACCGGGCUUAAUAUCGCAUGCAUACCCUAGCCGAUGUGCAAAUUGCACGGAAGGCCUCGCUAAUGCAGUCACGACAUUGUAGUAAUAUUUGACGUCAGUGUGUGUAUGUAAUGUAUCGUUGGGCUUGCAUCGUUGGGUGCGAUGUGCCGAUGCGUACGUGCGUCGUUGUCGCUCUGUGGAGGCUGAACUGCAGAACUGGCCUUGCCAUUGAAAAUGUUUAUUGUGGGUUAUUAUACUAUGAUUACUGAACAUAUCCACUUUCGCCCACGUCUGCGUUUAUUCUUUAUUGUGAGGUGUGUCUGCGUCCACCACCCGUUCGCUGCGGGUUUGCACACUUGAUUGCUAAAGGUAUUAACACACCUUGUAAGUAGUUCAUAUAUCGGCCUUGGCUCGCAAGGCCGCUUUGCGAAGGGAGGUGCAAGGCCAGAUGUUUGGCUGUCGGCGUUUUACAACUUCACGCCGCGAAGUUCAGACGAUGGCAUCCCAUUUCCAAUCCACAGCCGGAGGCAUCAAUAGGGCUCAGCAGAAAGCUUUGCACACAGCUCAGACGGUUUACUCAUCCGUGGACGAAGUUGCCCAGUCUAUCGGCAAUAGCUCAAAUGGAGCUGUCGCAAGCGCAAUAUCCUUGCCCUCAGCAUACGCGGCGCCAGCUGCAGCGCAGCCAGCUAGCGCUGCGCUCCAAGGAUUGUUGCGCAAUAACGAAGACAAGCAGUCAUCCACAGCACGUGAAGCUGAUGUGCAUCAGCUUGGAGUUCGGUCGACAUUGCACUGUCACGCGUGCUCAAGUGGCGAUGCCGCUGCCGAGCGUGCUCGGUCAUGGUAUGGGCAGCGCGUAUGGGCUGCGGUGCAGCAACCGGCAGCUUGUAGCUCUGCGCCUGGAUCUGGCGCCGGACAAACCCCAUCUCAAGGAACCCCUGCGGACAGCGUGGAUGACAUCAUCGCAUCAGCGGCAUCUCCUCAAUCGCAGGCCUGGAGGUUCAGCGUGAUGUGCUAUAACAUCCUCGCUGAUACCUAUGUAGGUAUUGAAACGCAAAACUCUGUAUUGAUAUUGGCACGACGAAAUGUUUGGACGCACUACAACGCAUGGCCUUGAAGGUCUAAUCUCGAGGCGCCGCACCGCGCGGGUUGCUGCGACCUGCACGUUCCACUAUUCCGCUCCACUGCUGUUGCCGCAAGGCGCCACCAAGGCACCACAGCUCCAGCGCUCAGCACAGCACAAGCCUGAACUGUCUAAACUGGGGCCAUCAUUAAGUCCACCCACAUGUGGGGGAGGGCCAGGGGGGAGAGCAGUAGGGGGAAGAUGGGUCCGCAAGAAUACAUCCGGGCAAGCGGGAGCACAAGUUGCUGAGACCCCUUUAAACACGACGGUGCAGUGCCGUACAGCAUAAGUAUGUAUCUCUUGUCUUGUCGGCUACUAUAGCCCUCUCCACUUCGCAGCCCAUCCUCGGGCCCCCAGACUUCAUCCCCGCCCCUUCCCCCUGACCCCCCCUUGGUGCGCUGCCAUCUGGUCGGUGCGUCCCGCCUCAGGCGCAUUACUUUGCGCACAAGCUGUACGGCGAUGUGCCACGUCAUUACUUGGACUGGCACCACCGUCUUAGGCUACUAGUUGAGGAAAUACGGUACUGGGCGCCUGACGUAGUGUGUCUGCAGGUGUGUACGUCUGUGUAUAUGUAUGUAUGUAUGCUGCUGCUACUAAUGCUGGGUGUGUUUGGAAAAUACAGCUGCAUUCAAGCGCGACCUGCGGUAUGCAUGUAUGUAUUGUGUGUGUAUGUGUGUAUGUGUGUAUGUGUGUAUAUGUGUGUGUGAGAGAGAGAGAGAGAGAGAGAGAGAGGAGAAAAAGAGAGGAGAGGGGCAGUAAGCAACCAGGGCGCUAGAGCCCCAUAGGUCCCCACGGUGUGCGCCGGCCAGCCAACACCCAGACAAUCCGUUCGCCCACUUCCUAUCCUGCUACAACUUCCCUCCUCCUCUUUCCUUUUGUCGUACAUUUAGGAGGUACAGCACUACAAUGAGCUCGAGCCGGAGCUGCGCGCAGCCGGGUGGGUUUUGUGUAUUAUGUAUGUAUGUAUGUAUGUAUGUAUGUAUGUAUGUAUGUAUGUAUGUAUGUAUGUAUGUAUGUAUGUAUGUAUGUAUGUAUGUAUGUAUGUAUGUAUGUAUGUAUGUAUGUAUGUAUGUAUGUAUGUAUGUAUGUAUGUAUGUAUGUAUGUAUGUAUGUAUGUAUGUACUUAGAUUACACUGUGGGCCGCGAGAGCCGGGGGCCGAAGCCGAAGUAUGUUGUUACAGGGUGGUAUAGCUUCACCAGCCCUUUCCCGAGGCAGUUCCCUGCUCUCCCCUGCUAGAGGGGCACCCUAAUCCAUUCACCCCAUCCGACUUCGGAAUGUAUUCGUUGGGUUCAGCAACUCACCACCAGCAUCCAACCAAAUCUAGCGGAUUAACGGCGCAUCAACUUAGUUCCUGGUCAGCUCGCAAGUUGAUAUUAUCACGUCCUACACCGUCCACAAGAUGGGGGGGCACCUCCCAUUUCAGCACUCCUUAAACACCCGAGGAGUCGGCAGGAAGCACGCACAACGACCAGCACAACCGCACAACCACCAGCACAACCACCAGCACAACCAACCGCACAACUGCCUGCAAUCCAUUUCCUGUGACCCAACACGCGACCGCGGCCCAACCUGGUCAAGUCGUGCUCGCAGGUACGAGGGGCGAUUUGUACGGCGGACCGGCAGGAGGCGGGACGGCUGCGCCACCUUCUGGUAACCAUGAUGGCGGAGACGGGAGGGCGGGCGGGUGGGGGGCGGGGCCGUUCGGGGUUUUGUGGGAGCAGAUGAACAGCAGCAGCAGCAGCAGCAGCAGGGGGGUUGUUCAGGAUAGUGAUGGUGUUUGGGAGCCCAUUACUUCAUCACCUUUCCGUACACCGUGUGAAGACGAGCAAAACGUAUUAAGCAAUGUCCGGCGCGGCCAGCCCCGUCGGGUAUCAACCAUGUUCACCGACUGACCCGCGGACACACCCACCCCUUGCUGCUGCUAAUGCCGCUGCUGUUUUUGCUUCUGUCGUUGUCGCUGUUGCUGUUCUUGCUUCGCAGGCGCUCCGAUCGCCUCCGCGCCCACGGCCUUGAGCGCCUGGACUUCGCCCCUCUGGGUCUCGAGGACAACCUGGCGCUGCUGAUGGGUCUGGGGCCCCGGGCGGAGGCGGCGGAGGCGGCGGGGCUGGACAGGUGGGUUGGGGCCCGGGCUGCGGCGUGUAGGAAACAGUUAUACUUUGGGGGGUCUGGUGGUUGUACCGUAAAAGGUACGUUAGGGAUCAUGAGCUCGAGGACUGUGUGUCUGUCGGUCUGUGUGUCUGUCUGUGUCCUGACGCCUGUUUCGCAAUGUCAACAAACCUAACGACAAACCAACAACGCAACCACCACCGUACAGGCAAGUUGCUGAGGCGCUUACCUCAGUUCGCCUGCUGGUGGCCACCACCCACAUCACCUUCGACCCCGCCAAGGGGGACGUGAAGCUGGGCCAGGUGCGCACGCUGCUCGACAGGGCGGCAGAACUGGCAGCCUCCCCCGCCGCCCUGUCGGAGCAGCAGCAGCAGCAGCAGCCCCAGGGGUCUUCUCAAAUCGCCAGCAGCAGCAGCAACAGCAGCAACUGCCUUCCUCAGCUAAACUUGUGCCACCGCAAACACCAACAACAGUUGUGUGAACACCGGCAAGAGAUUCAACCACCACCACCACCACAAGAACAACAGCAGCAAGAACAACAGCACCCCCAGCAUUCGCAGUAUCCGUGCUCGCUGGAAGCGGCAGUAGCAGGAGGAGGAGGAGCAGCAGCAGCAGUAGCGGCCGGGCCGCGUGCCGUACUUCCGCCGCUGGCAGCUGCUCCUGCAUCUGCCCCUGCCCCUGGCCCUGCCUCUCCGUCGUCCUCUCCGGUUGAGGGCCCCGCGGCGGGCUGUACGGCGGCGGUUGAGGGCCGCAGACGUAAGGCCCCCGGGGGACCUUGGUCCGGUGCGUCCGGCGACCGAUCCCGGCCCCCCGUGGCGGCAGUAGCGGCAGUAGCAGCACCAACAGCCGGGGCCCAGCAGCAGCAGCCCCAGCAGCCUCUUCAGACUUUGGCCAUCAUCACCGGGGACUUCAACAGCACUGCGGGCAGCCCCUUGUACCAGUUUGUGUCCCGUGGGGCGCUGGAUCUUGGUCGGACCAACCGCAAAAAGCUGAGUGGUGAGUCGUUUUUGAAGAAUAAUUGUUAUAUGCCGUACACUACAUCGGGGUUUUCUGUAUUUUUGUCGUGAUUCCCUUUGGGGUCCCCGUUUUUCCCCUUUUCUCUGCUGUGUUGCGCUGUGUAAUGGGCUCGGCCCCCCCGGCUUCCACGGUUCAUAUUUAGGCGUUUGAUUCAGGGGCCUCUUUCGCGACUUCCUCUCAGUUACAAACUCACGUAUGUAUGUAUGUAUGUAUGUAUGUAUGUAUGUAUGUAUGUAUGUAUGUAUGUAUGUAUGUAUGUAUGUAUGUAUGUAUGUAUGUAUGUAUAUCGCAGGGCAGCUGCAUGGCGUGUGCCAUACGCAGUACAAACCCGUAAGGGAGGUUAAGCAGCUGCAUGCGCAGCUGGCCGCUGCCGCUGCAGCUUCUGGGCCUGACGCCGUCGACGGCUCCACCGCCGCCGCCGCUGACAGCAACGCCACUGCUAACGCCGCCGUCACCGCAUUAGCCGCCUCGCCGCCAGGAACGCCGCCGUCGACACCUUUGGCGGCGGGGGCCGACGCUGGCACUGGCGCCUUGUCCGGAUCCAAGCACGGCCACGGAUCGAGUACGGCGACGACGACACCAGUCGGCGCCAUACAGCGGCUAGCCGCUGCAGCGAUGGACUCUGCGGCGGCGGCCGUGAGUGCAUGUACGGCGGCGGCCGUCACCGCCGUCACGAAGCCGGCGCUGGCGUGUUCCUCCGACGCCGCCCGGGCGUUGGACCAUUUCCUGCACUCAUCGUCCACGGCCGCCGGCGGCGGCGGCUCGGGUUCACAUCACCGGCACAUGUACGGCGGCGGCGGCGGAGUCGAGCGCUGGUCCGAGAAGGAGCUCCGCUGCGCGAUGGGCGAUCAAUAUGACGCCGCUGCCGUACAGCGGGCCAUUUGCAACUAUGGCGGCGCCGCCGCCGCGGUUUUUCCCCCGAGCCAAGUCCUGGCAACCUCUGCUUCGGGCCCCGUCACCAACGACGGCGGGACGCCAGCGGAGACCCAGGCACUGCCGCCGCUGUCGUCUCCGAGGCUUGGCCGUCAGCUUCACCCGCCACUGGCCAACCGUGGCAAGUCCGCCGCCGCCGCGAGCACCCUGCCGUGUCGCUCUUUGGACUCAGAUCCCAACGUCCAGGUGGCGCCGUCGUUGGACAGCUCACCGUCGGGUCCGCUGGUUGUACGGCACCCGCUUCGUCUCAAGAGCAGCUACAUGGAGGUUGCCCGUGCAGAGCCCGCCUUCACCUCCCUCCACAGCGGCUUCAUGGGCACCGUGGAUUUCAUCUGGUACACCGCAGAUGCCAUCCUCCAGCAGCAGCCGCAGCAGCAGCAGGCGGCGGCAGCGGUGGCCACGUCAGCACCCUGCGGGGGUUGCGUUGAGGGCGAAAUGGCACCGGCGGCGGCGGCGGCGCCAGGUUUGCCGGCGGCAGCGGCGCCGGCAGCGGGGUCAACAACGGACACGGCGGUGGGUGCUGUUCCGUGCGGUUGCUUGUGUGGGCCACCGGCGGGUCGGGCGGAGAGCGAAUUGCCUCAUGCCCCCGCGUCAGGACCACACCAACACCACCAUCAGCAACAGCAGCAGCAGCAGCAGCAGCAGUGUCGUCGAGGUCAGCCUCAGCAAACAAUUCAGCCUUGUCAGCAGCAGCAGCAGCCGCCGCCGCUGCAUUCUGGAGGCUGUAGCGUAGCCGCCGCUGCCGCGGCCACCUCUGCGUCAGCGGACGGUACGACAGGCGACGCUACUGCCGCCGCCACCGCUUCGCCGGCCCGCCGGUUCCAGUUGGUCCCCGUGGCGGUGCUACUGCCGCCCGACCUGGAGCUGCUGCCGCGGGGGCUGCCCGCAGCUGGCUGGGGCAGCGACCACAUCAGCGUUAUGACCCAGUUUGAGCUACGUCUAAUGUGAUGCCGUAGAGAGUUUCGAAAAGGGGAGGGGCGGUAAGGCGUGCUGUGCGCAUGGCAUCAGAUGGUGAACUGCUACCAACUAGUGAAUUGUGAUGGUGGUGGUGGUGGUGGUGGUGAUGGUGGUGGUGGUGGUGGUGAUGGUGGUGGUGAUGGUGGUGGUAAUGGUGGUGAUGGUGGUGGUGGGUGUUACAGCGGCGAUGAUUGGAGAAGUACAUGACUCCCUGGCGGCUGCUGGCGGGUGCCGAUUGGUGCGGUUGUAAGUGCGGUGGUGGCGGUGGUGGUGGUGGCACAAGGUGAGAUGGUGGAGAGGUGUUGCGGGUGACCGUAGGGGGGGGUUUUGAUGGUGAUUAGGCCGGCUGGAAAGGGAAGGGAAGGUGCGCUUGCUCGGACUCGCUGUCGGACUCGCUGCUGCUGCAGCCCGCCGCUUCUGUAGAGACGUCUUCAGACAGCGCUGGGGCGGUGCUGGUGUGCGGGUGCGGGUGCGGCGCUAGGGUGGUGCUACCGCUGGUGGUGCGCAGCAGUCACCCGGUGCGACUGAAAUCUGCCCGAGAGCCCGUCGAGCUGGAGGAAAGGGGCAGGGCGGGGAGAGAAAGGCGGAAGGACCUUUUGUACCCGCGGGUGCUCGAGGGUCGGAAUAGGAUUGACUUUCGGUUGGAGCUAUAGAGUGUAUGUGUGCCUGUGUGUGUGAGAGAGAGAGAGGGCGGUUAGAACGGUUUGUGCCCCUGGUUCCGUUGGUGUUGCAGUUGAGCGUGGCGCGGAGUUGGAAGUUAGAAGUUGGUAGUUGCAGGUUUGCGCUCCAUUUCCCCCUCCGGAGCUCCUCCGUGUCUCGCGACGCGCCGCUUCGGAGGACUGCACCGCUUUAUUGUGCUUGCGGCUGUUGCUGCUGCUGCUGCUGCUGCCUCGAAUUUUGGCCGUUUCGGAUUUAUCCUAAAUAUUUUGUUUGCGUGUUCCCCCACCCCAAUACCCCCACCCCCCGAGUGUUGAGGCGAAAAACUGUAGCUGUGUUGUUGGCGCCCUUGUUAAUGUUGAUUUCAGAGCCGGAGGUGCACCUUGGUGUGUAGUUUGGUCCACCCCAAGGCUCUUUUCGCGCGUCAGACGCCAGACCCGUGGGUCACUACUUUAAUGCGCUACCAAGCUUGGUGCGCUAUCAAGGUUCAGAAGCCCGUUCUGGUUUGAGCGUGGGACUGGUGCUCGUCCUUCCGCCCCUGGGGGGCCCGUCCGCUAAUGUGGGAUUAUUUUAGGCAAUGUCAGAGAUUUAGGUCCACCUUGCAGUACCACCUCUUCCACGUAAGCUAUGGUUUUUACAUCUCCCAGUUCCCCCCCGGGGGGUGGGUGGCAUGUUAAUGAUAAAAAUGAGGGUGAGUGCGUGAGAUUGACGGGAGAAAUGAGGUGAAAGCAUGAGUGGCAACCACGAGCUUCGGAUGAUGAUCAUGAAUGAAUGGAUUAAUGAAUGAAUUGAUGGUAAUGGGCUUCUUAGGAGACGUUGCGUAUUGAGCUGAUUGGCCAGCUGGCUAGCUUGGUGUGUGGGUGGCACGGUGGCAAUCUUCCUGAACGAUGAUGACGUCACCCUCCGUAUACGUAGUCAGUCGGUAGAUUGUGUUGCGGCGGCCGACGGUGUAACACAGCUGUAUGGUGCAGCGGCUGUUGUAGAGCAUCACUGUGCAGAACGUGCAGUACAUGUCGUACAUGUUGUACCUCAGGGAGGGGCAGUGUGAAGUGAAUCAACGCAGGGCGAGGUGACGUGUGACGCAAAAGAGAGAGACACGAGGUGACGUUUUUGAGUCGAGACGGCCGUUGAGGGUCAUUUUUUAUGAGGUGUAUAGGGGUGUGUGUGUGUCUGUAUGUGUGUGAGCAGAGUGAGAAGUCGGUGGAGGUGAUGAAGGGCGGCACUGAGUGGGUGGUUGGUUGCGGAAAAAAGCGAGGAGAGGAGAGGAGAGAGCUGCUAACCUGGAAAGUGUGAGCAUCAGCUCACCUCACGCCUCCCCACCCAGGACGGAGUCCCAUUUCGCGGCUAGGUGGCCAGACGCCGUUCCGCCGCCGCCCGACUUCCCUCCACUGCCCGCCGCCACUUGAUUCAGCUUCCCGGCUAGGUUGGGUGCGCCUGGCUCUACAUUCGCACCACACCGCCCCGUGUCAGGUCGCCAGUUGCUGGUGAGCCAGAGUGUGUCACACGAAAGAAACUGGCAGCGCUCUGCAGCAGCAGCAGCAGCAGUAGUAGUAGGGCUGCUACUGCUACUGCUGCCGCUGCUGGCGGUUGUUGAGCCCCUCCUGGUCAGACCUGAUGAGGGGUGCAGGUCUCGCGGGUAUCACCGUUACGGUGGCCGCACAGCCCAGUAUAUCAUAUCUCAUUGACUACCGCCCCAUCACUACCGCCACCGCCACCACCUCCUCUCGUCAGUGGACUACCCUCUCCUGAUCCGAAUUUCCCUUUCCCUUGAUAUGUGUGAUAUGUAUGAUGUGAACGUGGGGUGAUGAGAGUUUUGGCACUCGUUCACCCCGGUCGGAUCCAGCCAUGAGCCGCGCUUGCGUGUUGCUCCCUCGAGGGUAAGCACCGUGGCAGUAUUUGGCAGUAUUUGUCGCCAGUCGCCUGACGUUGUUGAAAAAAUCUAGGACUCAGGAACCGAGCAGGCGCUGCUGUGCUCGCUCGCGCCCGGUUGCUGCCGCUGGGUUGCAUCGUCGACGGUCAGCAGGUUGCCGGCCCCCCGGCUCCCCCCCAGUCCCCACCACCAGCAGUGACCCCCCCCCGUAGACUGGCCUGUAGACUCUUAGGAAGGCGGCGCAGGCGACACACAUAUGGGGCGAUAUGUCGUGUGUGCGACAUCAUCAGUAUAGUGGGUGGGCGAACACCUCGAUUGAAAGGUAAAAAACUGGCAUAUCGUUGGAGGAAAGUUGGCCGAUUGGAAAACCCGAAGUCGGAGCCUACCAUUUAUCUUCUCGCGGAUCUUGACUUCUGUGUAGCUAUUGCCACCAUACGUAUGCUGGCUGCACCUGGGAAGUAGCUAAGAAGUAGUUUUCCGUGGUCAGUUGUAAGGGUCGGAAUGGAACACGUGGUCUGGCGCCGGCCGCAGUAUGCACUUGAAAAUGAGGUGCCGCACGAUGAACACGUGGUGGCGGUGGUGGUGGUGGUGCUUCGCCGUGCCGAAGCCACUCCUACAUCCUGAGGCUGACACUCGCGGGGCACACACAGCCACCGUUGUCCUUGAAGAGUUUGGACACCACCCGGCAUGCGAUUACUGCACCGUGCAGCCCGCAUUGCGGAGCGGGGAGCCCACAGCGAUGGACCGAUAGUUGGCCCUGCGGGCGGCGUCCCCUCCUGUUAUAAGACGGGGAAUAGUGUGCCGGUCGUACAUACAGGAGCACGUGGGCACGAACCCCGUGGAUACAAUUGGAUAGUGACGCCAGGGAGGGUGCCCAAGCACGUGACCAUCAACCCCCUCGCAAGCUGUUGCCUAGUUGUGGUGCUCGAGUAUGCCGGGGUAGCAGAGAACUCAUCAUGGCGACGUGGUGCCGGCAGGGCAGGCGGCGAAGAAGGGAAAGUGAGGGAUAAGGAAAGGUUCGGAAGAAAACCUUCCACUUCGCACCUGUCACAUCGCUCAGCCGCACAACGCCAACCCAGCUUGAACCAGGCUGGGCCGGGCCGGCGAGUCGAAGGUUGCUUGCUGGGCCCCGGCGAAGGCCGUACCGCAGUGCGGAAACACAGCAUGCCGUGCCGUAAUGCGCAGUGCCGUGUCGUAUCCUGGUGAAUGUACGGCAACGGCAUAACGCGGCGAGGCGCACGUGCAGGGAGGAUCGUUCGCUCAACCAGUUGUUGCUGCGCUCUCGACGGGGAGGUGUUGUGGAGGCUGUUCUGCUUGGGCUCCCGCUUAAGCUUAUCGUGGCGAAUUGGGCGUCCAUGCGGGAGCUUGUGGUAUAAAGGUGCUAGUGGUGUGCGUCAUAGAGUGGUUGUAUCGGGAGUGCACGUGGUUGUGGAUCUCACAGGUGGAUGAAAACCAAUCCAGCGCGUUGGUGUGCAACCACAGCAUGUCUGUCGGCGGGUGUCUGGCGGCGCCAUGAAUGCUCCUCAGUGGGCAAUCUGAUUUGUGCACGGCAUUGAGAUGGAAUGCGGUUCCGUAGCACUUUCCUCGGCUAUGCACACUUUGUUGCACAGGAAAAACGUACAGAUGCGCAGCUGUUUCAUAAGCAGGGUAAAUGAUAGGAUGCGGGGAUGCAUGUGUAUGUAAGUUUUGUGCGCCGCAAGAAAUUGAGGAGGUGAGCGCACGAAAUCGUGGCAAGUGGCACCCUAGGCUUGUAAGCAUUUUGACAAGCACCUAGCCAACAUAAGAGGGCGUUCUCAGGAGUUGCGGCUACUUCGGCGGGAGCAUUUGCAGUUGAAACACAAGUGGUACAACAAUGACUGUAUGCGGAUUGCGGAAGCUGUGUAAGCGGUAAGGCAGGGACAAGCAAAGAUGUGAAGUCAUUUAUUAUUACUUUAACUUCUAUACCAACGUGCACUUACUCUAACUGGCCAUUGCAUCAUUGCGAUGAUAAAGAAAGCAUGACAGAAGAAGCCCUGCGUGUUCAACCUCGUAUAAGUUGAGAGACCGGUUAUGUAGAGAAGAUAAACGAUUACCUGAACUCCUAAACAAAAGGAGUCGCGAAACUAGGUGCAGCCGUUUCGGUGACGGGUGAGCAAGCGGUCUUGCGUUGGCACCUGUAUUCGGGUAAGUCGUCGCAAAUUGCUGACACCACCAGGGAUAAUGAGGAACCACUGCCUGUGUUUUCGAAAAAUGUGCGCUAGCUUUUUGGUCUAGCGCGGGGGCAUCAUUUGGCAUCCUCCGUGGUCUGUGGAUGCACUGCUUGCUAACAAUCGCUUGCGCAUUUUGUUUCAACAUUUAAUAUAUACAUACCUGGUUAUCUCCCGGCUCUCGCUGGGUUCCUCUGCGCGUCGUGAAAUCAUGACCUCCACUCUGCUCGUGGUUGAUUUGUCACUGAAAUAAAAUAUCAUGUGCAGACGCAUGAUGUUCUUUGUUGAUUCUGUGCUGUGCAUGCUGGCUUUUGGUCAACAGGUUCUUGUUCUUAUCUCGUCUCCUGUCUAGCCGCCGUGCAGGCAGUUCGGCAAAGCCAUCUGCAAAAGGCGCAUAACGAUAGCAUCCGUUGUGCUGAGGCCACGAGCCCUUGGAGGACUAUUGCCGGCGUGACAGCUUCCUAGCGCUGCUUUAAAGUUAUCAGCCACGUCGUGCUCAACGGAGCCGCGGGGCGCUUGUGCCGCUGGCGCUGCCCCGGGGACCUGAACACAGCCGUCACUGAGAAUCUAAACAAAGAGGAAUUCCUGGACCCGGGACGGCCUCCUCGCGCUGUCCGUGCGUCACAUCGCUUAACCGCCCCAAACUGGCGAGCGAAGCGGCUAACGCCAUCGGUGGCGACCUGGACCCGGACGCCUUGCAUGCGCUCAACAGUCUUGCAACCGCUGCAGAGCGCGAGGCUGGGCGAGGCAAGGUGCCCGGGCUCCUGCAUGAUGGCACGGAUCCAGCGCACACGUCCGGUUCGCAGCGUUCGCAGCCGGAGACGUCUCAAGACGAUCCCAUCACCACAAAGGCAGGUGCCGGCUGGAUGGAUUCGGGGAAUGCAGAGGUGCAGGAGACGCUAUGCUCUGCGGGUCGGGCCGGGUCGCAUGCCCCCUCUCCUGGCCGGCAUGUCCAUCGUAACCCUCAACCCCUCACCCCCUCCAGGCUUCCCGCCUCAUAUCACCUGCCACAAAUCCGCGUGCUGGGCUCCCUCCCUCCCUCCCCCUCUCCUGGGUUGCGGCCCACCCUCCACCCCUAAACCCUUCACCCCAUCAUGUUGCGUUGUGUUGCAUGCCUGUCCAUCAUCCUAAUAUCCAUCAUCUUAUUCCACUCAUGUCACGUCGCGCACACCCUGCAGUGCACUGCUGCCCCUGCCCCCACCUGUGUAUGGUUGCCCACGUAUCCACACCCAACCCGCCCUGUCCUCCUCCGCUGUACGACACCUCGUACAUGUCGUGGCGGCCGUUAUCUCCAGGUGGCCCUGAGCCACGAGGACCAGGACGAUGCGAAAUCUGGUUCCGGAGCCAAUGUGGGGCUGCCCAUGUCAAUGGCCAUGGCGAUGGGCAUGCCACCGGGGUUUCUGGGUAUGGGGGGCCUGGGACAGAUGCAGAUGCCCGGCAUGGCGGCCAUGGGUGCUGCGUCGUAUCCGUACAUGUCGGGCCUUAUGCCAGUUUUCACGGCGAUGGCGGGGCCGCAGCAGAUGGCAGCUAUGGCCGCGGGUGCAAUGCCGGUGCCGGGUGCAGCUGACAUCGCUGGGAUGCCGGGCACCGCCGGCGGCGGCGGCGGUGGCGACGCGACCGUCGUCAUCGGCACGCCGUUAGCUGACGUUGCCCAGCAGUGGCAGUUGGCCCGGCAGCAGCAAGCCACCAUGUCAGCGUAUUUCCAGAUGUGGGCCAUGGCAGCGGCGAGCUGGUACGGCAGUAUGGGCCUCAUGGGAGGCACGGCAGCUGGCGGGGAUGCCGCCGCCACCGCAGCGGCGGCAAUGUCCAUGAUGGGCAUGAUGAACCCUGCCAUGAUGGGCAUGAGCAUGAACCCGGCGCAAAUGCAGGCCAUGAUGGCUCAGUCAUGGGCAAUGCAGAUGGGAGCUAUGGGCAUGAUGCCGGGCAUGGCGAGCGCCAUGGGUGGAGCCAUGGGGCUACCUGGCGCCGCCGCCGGGGGCCCUGGCGCCGCCGCCGCCGCCGCUGCUGCUCAGUCGGCCCAGUGGAUGCAGCAGGCUCAGGCGCUGCAGUCCGCCUUCUGGGGUGCUGUACCGCACGGCGGCAUGACAGCGGGUGCCAUGGCCGGUAGCCCCAUGGCCGCUAUGGCCGGCAUAGGGGGCACUAUGGGGGGGUACGGCUACCCUGGCGGCGCCGCCGCGGGUGGAGUCGUCGUGGGGGGUAUUGGGGGGCCCGAUGGGGGGGGGGGGAUGGGGGCGGCCAUGUUGCGGAGCCUGGGCCUGUCGAUGCCCACCAACAGUGAUGAGGCUUUUCCGGAGCCGGAGGAGGAGCCGGAGGAGGAGGAGGAGGAACAGAAUACGGGUAGGCGGCGUCAGGCGUGGGUGGGUGGUUGCGUGGCUGCCGUUGCUGCAGCUGUAGUUCGUUUUCCCGGGACAGUCUGAACAGGAUGGGGGGGGAGGUCGCUGGCUGUCGUUGAUCUAUCUUUGGGGCGUUUUGGAAGAGACACCAUCUUUGGGGAUUGUUGGGGACCACCCGGUGUGCCGAUGUGUAUGUACGUAUGUAUGUAUGUAUGACUUGUGUGUAUGUCCGCAUGCAGAAGAGGAGGAGGACGGGGACGAAUCUCCCUCCCACCAGGCCUUCAUGCAGCACCACCACCACCAACAGCAACAGGAGCAUAUUCAGGCGCUGCCGCCGCUGCUACCGCAGCAGCCGCAGCCGCACGCACUUGCGCACCAGGCGCAGGUUCCGAUGUCUUUCCCCGUCAACCAGGUGGGACUGGGAGCGGGAGCGGGACAUGCCGGGGGCCCGCAGUCGCAGGCGGGGCUCGGACACGUCCAGGGCUCCCAGCUCACGCAAGCCGCCCCCGGCACCGCACCACAGCCAAGCCCGACACUACCAGCUGCACAACCGCACCACGCACAGCCGCUAUCAUCGUUGCCGAAGCCGCCGCAGCAGCAACAGCAACAGCAGCAGCAACACCAAGGGGACGUUCCGAUGCCGGGAUGCGCCCCGCCUGCGCAGCCAGUGCCGCCGGGGCCCAUUGGCGUGCCGCAGGCCCCGCCACCGCACAUGUCGGCCGCCGCUGCGGCGGCUCUGUCGGCGGCGGCCAAUGUCGUCGCGGCGGCGGCGGCCGCGAAGCGGCCCCUCGAGCAUUCAGUUCCUAUGUCGGCGGCGAACAACUUCGCAGCGGCUGCGGCUGCGGCCGCCAACUCCCAGAGCUACCUGUCCGGUCAGUCGAAGAGGGGCAGGCGGACGGCUAAAGAGCAGAAGGUGCGUGGGGAGGCGGCUGAUGCAGUCCUGUGUAGGAGUCCGCGGCGCAAGGGCGGACGGAUAGGGGUUGCCUGUCCUGCCGCCGGGGGUUGGCCGGGGGCCGGGGUGGUGUGUGUGUGUGUGUGUGUGGAUAGACUCUACUCUGCUGCUGCUCUGGGGUUGGGGGUCCAUGAGUGACGUCACAGCCCCAUGUUAGCGGACCGACCUGUCGGAUGGUUGCGGAGGUGCCAAGGGGGCAAGGAAGGAAGGGUGGGUGAGGGGAUGGGUGGGUUGUGUGGAGGUGCUGAUCAACCAGGUUGCCGAGGGGUCUUCCAGCAGCAGCUGCGGAGCGCGGUGAGGGGGAGGGCUGCUCAGUUUUGUUUGGGCAGGGGAGUGGGAAUGGGAGUGGGAAUGGAUGGUUGAGCGUUGGUCUUCCAGAUGAGGGUGAGGGGAGGGAUGGGGAGGGAAGGAGCGAGGAGGGUUACCUGGCUAACUAGGCCGGUGGGUGGGUCAUAGGGGGGCGCUGCUUCCCGCCUGUUCCUUCGCCACAACGCCACAGGGGUUCAAGCACCACGAUGCGGUGACGACGUCCCGGCUCUGCCACCUUUCCCCCCUGAACAGUCCCCCUCCCUCACCCCUCACCCUCCCCUCACCCUGCCGCCACGACGGGGACGUCGACCUCCACCCGACCUCAUCCCGCCCCACCCGCCCUCAGGGAACGGACUCCAAGGUGCGGCUGGUUGCGGGGCUGAGGGGCUGGGAAGGGGAGCUGGGAGGUGCACAUCGGUGUGUGUGUGUGUGUGCGGGUAGGACCUGAUUUGAGUACUGCUACCGCUACUGCCACUACUGCUGCGACUACGACCGGGCUACUGCCACACUACUGCCUUUCUAAGGUUCCUGUUCACCCCGUGGGGGCGCUCGGGGAGCCGCACACUGCGCCGUACAAUGGUCCCGAGAGCCGUUUUGCGAAAGGCCUGUACGAGGGCCUGUACACGUCAUCCUGUGCACCCUGCCGUUCCCCCCUAAACCUCUUACGCGCUGUUGGCUGCUGAAGAGCCCCCUGGCCGAGGGGGCCUUCGGGAACUGCCUAGGGGCCGCGAAUACACCGACACACCGAACGCAUCGCGCCACACGGUCUCGAAUGCUUCCCGCGCUCCGUGAGACGCGAGACGUCGUUCCGCUACUGAUGUCCUGAACACACUUCCAUCCGCAACCCGACGGGACCACAUACAUACAUACAUAUACCUACAUAUAUCUACACAUACGUGCAGGUAUGCAAGAACUGCGGUACCAAGUCCACUCCUUUUUGGCGAAAGGACAAGAACGACGGGCGACCGCUUUGUAACGCCUGCGGGCUUUACUUCUCGAAGAAUGACGCUCCGCGGCCCAAGAUACUCUGGAAGCAGGACGAGCAGGGGGGGGCUGUGGUGAGCGGUGUUGGAGGGCGGGCGAGGGGGGGAAUGCGAGUGUGAAUGCGAAUGCGAGGGGAAAAGGGGAUGAAAAGGGAGGGAGAGGAACCUGUGCGGGUGUGUUUGAGUGCGGAGGAGGAGGAGGAGGAGGAGGAGGAGGAGGAGGACCGCCACCAGCCGGGGGGGAGUCUAACACGCACAUAUUUGUCAGUUGUUAGUUUAUUGUUGCGUUGGCGGGAAGGCUCUUUCCGUUACGUGUGCGGGGCUGCAGCCUGAGAGAACAGCUGCGGCACGUCAGUGAACCUCACCUCACCCACAUGAGGUGGAUUCACCACGCCGCCGGGCUGUGCUCGCGGUGCUGGGGCGGCAACCGGACGUGUGGCGCAGCGGUGUCUUGAGACUCUGUUGCACCAUGUACCUGCGACGCAUCAGCAACGUGUUCGUGACCGGCUGUGGGGAAACAACCUGUGGGAUAACGAAUUGAAAAUUCAAGAGGUCGCAAUAGGGCCCUCCUCCUGAGGGCAAAACUGCCGUACAUAGUUCAUUACGUCACGUCAUGAAGCCCGCAGGGCCAAGUGCGAGGUCAAGUUCGAAUCACAGCGACCCCCCCCCCCCACUCCCACUCCCACUCCCGUGUUAUUCGACGACGGGGCGCCUUGCAGGGUCAGGCAGCGGCGGCUGUGGCGGCAUCUGCAGGCGGUGUACUGCAAGGGAACCCGCUGGUGGCGGCGGCGGCGGGGGACCCCACAGCGGCGGCGGCGCUGGCCGCCGCCAUGGCGGCUGGGCGAGGGCUAACGUUACCGGCGGGGGCCGCCAACGCAAUAUCGAGUCUGCCAGGUCUGGCGGCCGCCGCCGCGGCAGCUGCCGCCGCCAGUGCCGCCAGCACUGCGGCAGGUACGGCAGCCGCAAUGGCGGGGGCGCGUCCUGCAGGAGCGGCGCCAUUAGCGGCUGGUGCGGUUGCACCUCCAGCCCGCCCAGGAUUGGGUGCUACGGGUGCUGGGACCGGGGGCCAUGCGUUAGGGCCGGCAGCGGCCGCUGGAGCCGCAGCGGCGGCACCAGGCGCGGUGCGGCCGAUGCUGCCGACAUCGCUGCCGGGCAGUGCGCAUAUCAAUGCAGCGCAGAUGAUGGCGGCGGCGGCGGCCGCGGCUGCUGCGGCUGCGGCCGCUAGCAAGGGUGUUGUGGGCGCGAAUGGUCAGCCGGGCGGGCCUCGGCCGGGUAUGCAGAUCCCCGGCAUGCCCAAUCUGCAGAUGACGCCCGGGGCCGCGGCGGCGGCGCUGGCAGCAGCAGCAGCUGCAAUGGCAGCCUUCCCGCAGGCGAGUCUGCAGGCGCGGCCGCCACUGCAGGUGCAGGUGCCUGGCAGCGGCUCUGCCGCAGCUGGCGGUGCGGCGGCUCCGCAGGUCGCAGGCACGGCCGCGCCGCCAGCGGGCUUCCAGCCUCAGGCGCCGGCUGCAGCGGCGCUUGCAGCGGCUGCCGCGGCUGCAGCUGCGGUGGCAGGUGCUGCACCGGCUGGUGGUACGGCGACGGCAGCCGGCCCAACCAACACCGCAGCCGCGGCGCCGACGGUGGCGGCGGCCCCGGCAGCGGCGCACUUGAUUGCCUCAGCGGCUGGUGGCACAUCACCCGGAUUUGCGGGAUCGCCGGCUGGUCCGGUGGCUGCGACAUCAGAGCCGCCUCCUCCUCCGGCGGCUGCGGCUGUGGUCCCGCUGCGUCCCCAGAUUAAAUUGGAGGACUCAUGAGUGACGAGCGCUGUGACGAAGAAGGCAAACAAGCACAUGAGGUUGCUGGGGUGCAUGGGGAACCUCCUUUCAUCGUGUGAUGGUGAUGGUGGUGGUUUGAUUGGCGGCGCUCGCGUUUCAUUUUCAUCGCAAAAGACUGUUUGGCCGCAAUGACUUGUCUAUGGUGUGUGUUGUCCGUGAGCUGCGCGCGCGUGGGUCGUUUGGUGCCCUUGGUGGUGCGUGUGUGUGUGGGGGGGGGUGUUGUUAUGUCUGAGAAGAGAAGUUGACUAGGACGGGCUUGGGGCGGGUGUAGGACUUGGGAGCGGAGGUCUGUCUGUCUGUCUGUCGGGUUGGUUGGUGGUGACAAGCACGGCACGGCAAGGGCGCCGGUGAUAAGCAGCAUCAACUCGGAGUCCCGUCCUCUGCUGGCGGAUACCUGCUGCCCUGUUGGUGGGGUAGGUGCGGAGUCUGGUCCUGGCAGCCUCUGCAGGACUGCGGGCUGUGAGGCAGUGAGGCCGUCAGUGGGGUUAAGGGGUCCCCCGGGGAUCAGGGGCUCCGCAGCCGUGGGAACCUGCUUAUGUGCGCAUAAACGACCUCCCGUCUGUUGGCCGCACAUGACUCGAGUCGUACCCGUAUCGCUUACUUUGUUUGUGCCGGCAAGUGUCGUGAACACCCCGCCCCCCACCUGCCUGACGAUGACAUGCUUAACUUGGUCCCUGAUCUGAUGGUGUGACUUGGUCAAUCCCUGCAAGCACUCGCCUUGGAAGCCAUCAGCCAUCACUGAUUUCGCGUUAUUGUUCGCUGGCGGCGCUGCUAUGUAUGUGUGUGCAUUGGUGUUGUCCGUCCUGAGUGACGCAUCCAUGAGGGCUCUGCUUUUUAGUGGUUCAUUGGCGAGUGUCUGUAUGUGCGUCUGUGUGUCUGUGUGCCACAACAUGGUCUUGGUCCGCAGUGUGGAUAAAAGUCGUAUCGUAUGGUGUUCUUUUGGCUGUCGUGGCGCCAUGUAUGUAUGCAUGUAUAUGUGUGCGCCACAAAGCCGUUGGAGGAGGUGCAUUUUGUGUCUUAUACCUGAUUUUGCGGGGUGAUUUUGAUUGUGUGCCGCUUUUUGAGCGUCCCGUGAGUUUUUGUGGCUGCGGGCUUUACGAUUUACAGCUCCAUCAUGUGUUGCGGCGCGUUGCGUUUGUAGCUGCAUUGUAUUUCUUGAAGGACAAUUGUCGCAAACCUGCCAUAUUGAUGUGUUAAUACGGUGAUGGUGAGAGCUCAUCAGUACAUUUUGCCCGAGGGGAGGAUUGAUUUGGUUUUGGUCUUGGUAAGGAAGGGGGCACCAAAGUCCUCUGGCUGAUGAUGCCGCAUGGCACGCAAUACGCGUCCAUCUUUGUUGCCGUACGGUAGAUUGUUCCUGGCGUUCCAGAAUGCUAACGUGGCAGCGUGGGGGUUUUGGACGUGCCAGCUUAAUUUGUUCGCUCCGGGAAUGGAAUGAAGAUGGAGAGAGAGAGGGGAUGGAGAUGAUUUGCCCUUCAGCUCGAGUAGGGCAAUAUACAUGAUGGCCGCUGACCGGUUAGUGGGCAGACCGGUUGUAAAUAUUCCUGCCUUAUCAGUGGUUUGCGAAUGAUUACGAGCAUACGUUGGGUCUGCGCAGAAAAAGACGACAGUUAUCGGUGCAUUACCAUGUUCCUGCCAGGGACGACUCCUCGGCCAGGAAUUACGCGCCAGGGAUGCUUACGUACGCGUUUGGUGCAAGGGUUUUAAUGCAUUGCCAGCCCUUUCAGUUAUUCGUCAUCGGUUGAGGCUAAGUUUCAACCCCCCCUUGCAUGUCGCCGACGCCAAGUAACGAUGUGUCACUAUACGCAUUCCUAAAGGGGUCCUUAUCCUUUCAGCUUACCGCGCUAAGUCAUAAACGCGAUCCGGGAAUGGGCAUGAAGCCCCCCAAAGCUCCUACCCUAAAUAGCACAAGGUCCAAGCGACUCUGGCAGAUACACUCCAAGACGACAGGCAUCCUUCAUACUACCAGAUCUGCCCAAUACACUGACUUCAACCUAAAAGCAAACGGCCUCAGUGGCCCUCCGCAAGCUUGUAUCGCUCAAGCUGAUGUUUGUAAGAUUCCCACAUACACAUUGACUCAAGCAUCUGCCGAACCUGGUCGACAAGUUGUUUGAGUACUUCGUUUUUCAUGGAUAUCUCUGCCUGCUUCUGCGCAGCGCAGCUGGCAGGGCCAUUUGCGGCAUCCGGCGUGUCCACAAUGCUGCCUUGGCCUUCUGCGUGCGAACAGGUUUUAAUGUUGUGCACUUGCUGUACAAUAAUGCGUCGAUACUUGAUUUCAAAAUCUUCGUGACCACCUCGUGAAUUAACAGAACAACGGUUUCCUCACCGUGGCCGCCUUCGCUAAUGAUAUGGGCGGCUAGGGAGCUGCAUUCCAGUGUUGUUCUACGAAGCACCGACAUCGCUUGUAAGUAUUGCUGCUGAAGAGCAGCCUGUCGUGGCAACGCAUCGUUUGGGUCGCCAAAGCCCAAAUCGGCAAAUAUCUGCCUCACAGUUGCUAUCACGUUCUGCAAUUGGAGAAGACCCUCUGCCGCAAGGUCGUUCAAUUGCCCAAGCUGAUUUGUCGCACGCAAUGCCAUUUCAUAAACAACUAAUGCAAGUCAGCCAAGGCUAAUGACGUUUGUCUUUCCGACCUAUACAAGAGCGCAGCAAUUCUAGUGCAUUGUACGAAUGUAAGUACGGCAUCGAUAGGAAGCCACUUGACCCUGUUUUCUGCUAUCCUCGAUUCCUUGCUUUCGAUUGGCCCACCCACCCACCCUAUGAUUAUUCAGCCAAUCAUAAUUCGAGCGCUUUGUAAAUCUUGGGGGUUUUUUGCACGUGGGGUUUGCCGUUGCCGGUAGGUAGCCGUAGGUUCCAUGAGCUACAAAUCUUUAAUGUAUUAUCCAGAAAACAACUCCAACGUGCUGGUGUCCCUGCCUCACAACACAAGAUACACGUGUCCAUGUGCGUUUUUGAUGUCAAAAUUAUUUCUGGUGCUGCAUUACCGAGAACAUCAAACUCUGUCACACAACACCGACUCUAACCAUGCAUUUUUCCGGCAGUGAAAGGACACUUUCCCGACUUCUCACCCAGUGAGAGAGCACGGAUAACGUCGAAUAUGCCUUCAGGUGUCAUGCGGGUUGGGGAUUUGCGCCCUACAGGCAUAGACGCGGAAGUUUCACGGCUCCGAGUUUACAAGAUUUAGCCGGCGCUUACUUCUCAAGUCUCUAUAACGUUUUCGUAUUAGGUGCUGAAAAUCAACGGAUUGUGCUGAAAAUCAACGGAUUGUGCUGAAAAUCAACGGAUUGCCACGUAAGGCCAGCGUUUAUUCUAGGAAGCGGAUUCCAUGCCUUUGUUCUAUUUUUUCAUGCUGAAUACCAAGUGUAACAAUAAAACAAUUGCGCCUUUCAUUUUUACAGGUAAGUAUCAGUCACAUCGCAAGAAAUCUUUGCCGCAAACGACACCAAACCAGCGAACUACAGCCCGCCGCGCAGACGCAGCACCAGAUGGAGCGUGCUCUCCUUCUGGAUGUUGUAGUCAGCCAGGGUACGGCCAUCCUCCAGCUGCUUGCCGGCGAAAAUCAGACGCUGCUGGUCAGGGGGAAUGCCUGCAGGGAAGGAUAGACAAAGGCCGCGUGCAACGAACUCAAAGCUAGACACUAGCCGGAGGAGGGAUUAGCAAGGCAGCGAGUUUUAGCAGACCCACUUCAGCCUGGCCGAGGUAAACACACCAAACAUAUGCAUGUGUCUUACCCUCCUUGUCCUGGAUCUUGGCCUUCACGUUCUCAAUGGUAUCCGACGACUCAACCUCCAGGGUGAUGGUCUUUCCCGUGAGGGUCUUGACGAAGAUCUGCAUACCGCCGCGCAGACGCAGCACCAGAUGGAGCGUGCUUUCCUUCUGGAUGUUGUAGUCAGCCAGGGUACGGCCAUCCUCCAGCUGCUUGCCGGCGAAAAUCAGACGCUGCUGGUCCGGAGGAAUGCCUGUGUUAAACAUUGCCGAGCGCACAAACUUUUAGUUCGUUGAAUACAUAUGCUCACCGUACCUCUCUUUUAUUGCCUCGCUGAUGGUACUAACAACAACGUUGGUGGCUUUGAUAAACGACGGAGCAAAUAGCCUUAAACUUGACGUCGUGAAACGUUGGGUCAAGUUACCCAACAAAGUCAAGAAGAAAGCUUUGCAGACUUCCUCAAGACACGAGGAGUCGCACUUCAUGUUGCUCGUUCACAUAUUCUGGGAAACCUAUGAACUGAAGAGAGCUGGAAGCGGCCCUUUGCUGGACCGAGAAGAACCCUAAAUGAACUUUCGCCCCAAUUCCCAGGAUUUUCACAAAAUCUUCCACAGCUACAUGUAUCAUGAUUCCCAAAUAAGCCAACCUUUAGGAACAUGGCUCACCUUCCUUGUCCUGGAUCUUGGCCUUCACGUUCUCGAUUGUGUCCGAAGACUCGACCUCCAGGGUAAUAGUUUUACCCGUAAGGGUCUUUACGAAGAUCUGCAUGUUUGCUUUGGUCUAGAGCUUUUGUCGCGACUGCUGCGUUCACGUAAGACUUCCAACAAGUGUGACUGAUACAAAACUGACUUUCUAUACUUAUGCAAUUAUAUGAUCCGUCCUACAACUUGGCGCAUAGUUUAAGUGCGGUGUUAGCCCUUUAUAUAUGACACCCUCGUACCCAUGUGUGUGCCCUCCUGGAGUUUUCACCUGAAGUUCACGAACUCACAAGGCAGAUGAUAGGAUGUACCGUUGUACUAAAUGCUACUUACAUUACCGUAAUAUUCUUGCAGGGUCCCCGUUCUGAAACUCCGAGGCGGGGAAACCCAAAUAUUUCGUUAGUUGGCCCAAAAUCGUUGUACAGGAUCGUCAUGAACAAGUUGAAGCUACAAGCUGCAUUUGCAAUUCUCGCCUGAACAUAUAGAUCCAACCUCGUGCAUCCUCUACUUUCCCACAAGGUUUCCAGUGUGGAGGUUUGGGGUUGCCUCAAGGAUGCGUGAACCGCGCGGGAAAGCCUGAAAUGCAAUUGUCAUAGCUCGGUAAAAAGGUUUCCCAAAAAAGAAUAUGGUAGGGCAGGGAGUAGAGCACAGUCGGUUGAACCUCUACUUGCACGCUUCGAGAAGGCUUUUCUAUGGAAGUGCAAAGACCAUGAACAAAAUAGGCAAAAGAAAGGGUGUACUUUGCAAAGCCUACCAUUUCUAGGCUGUAUCCAUAAUUACAAAAGGAACUCUCUUGCCUUGUCUGCCCGACAACUUGUCGAAGCGUGUAUAGCCCUGCACUGAAGCAGAUUUCUUUUCCCCAUCACGCGCGCGCGGCCUGCAGCACUGGCUUUCUAAGCAAUCCCUAUGCAGAUGCCUACAUACAACCAGUCCAACCCAACCCACCUGAGCCUCACCAGCCGUGUGCUGCUCUGAGCUUCGAACAAUCCCCCACGCAAAACUUGGGAGCCUCAAUGCGCACAAUGCCAUUUUUCAUGCCACACCUGUGUGCGUGGAAAUGUGCGCGUGUGAAGGGGGACCCAAAGCGAAGCCCACUGCGGUGUGCGGCACAGCGCGUUGGCCGAGCGGCAGGGGUGCAUCUGCUACCUGCCUAUUUCCUCGGACGCUUGGGGAGCUGCGGACAUACGGGUGUCUUCAGACUGCAUCCGGCUCACGUCCCGAUGUGCAACCAGCAGCUACCCCGAUCGGCCUAUGCGCCUACGUUUCUUAACUUCUAGACACAAACGAUGAUGGUCUACCACGUAACCACACUAAAAACGAUUUACCGUCCAUGACCCCCUGGCUUUUACGGACACACCCGCACUUGUGCGGAACUUGUAACUAUAGCCACAAACGGCACGUAGCGCCGUCACAGUGCUCUCAUCUCUUCCCUUCCCACACGCCCGCCUUCCUGCCCAAGCAACAAGGGUGUCCAACACUACUGCAUGCCCCCUGCUUGUCACAUGUCGUUGGGAAGGAACCGACCCCUUCCCCCACAUAUGCAUACGUGCUCCAGCAAACAGGCAUACGCCGGACGGAACAGGGCCCAAGUCGCCCUAGGCCACCGGUCUACGUGGUCACACAGCGGGGUCCUGCGUGCAUCAUCGACAAGCUUUUAGAGCACCCGGCCCCCGCACGUGCACCGGAACGUGUUCGCCCUCUGCGCCUUUCGGUUGACAACUCCGAGCUUUGCAGUCUCCGAAAAGAACUAAAUGGCAAUUUAGGGUUUUAGGGUUUGCGACGAUGACGACAACGGUCAUGCGCUCGUUAUUAUGAGUCGGACGACAGCCAACGCUCCAUGCACAUGCGGUGCGCCGGUUGGUCAUGCACGGACGACGACGGCCCCUGCAAUGCCCCCAGCAACUUCCGUCCCGUAACCUACACUCGCACUUGACCAGUUCCCUUGUCCUUGUCCAAGGGCGCAGGUCAUCCGCCGGCUUCGUCCCUGGCAAAAGACACUCGUAACCACUAUCCUGCCUAACCCUCGAAAUCGCAUCCACGGUAUUCGCCCUCUCGCGCGCCUUCCAACGACGGUUAUCCUUUGCACCGGGCGGCACCCACGUCUGCAGGCGGGCGGGUGGGUGCGGGAGGCGCUGCACUACAACCCAUCGGCCGCGUCGCGCACUAGCGAGGUCAGCUCCCAGUCCCAGCCCUCCUCGCCGUCGCCUGCGCCCCCUGGCGGCGUAGGCGGUAGAAAGGACGGCGCAGGCCCGGAGCGCAGCGUUUCCCAGUCGAUAACGGCGAAAAAGGGGUGUGCCUUGAGCUCGGAGAUGUCCUCCGCGCCUGGCGAUGGUGAGGGACAGGGAGGGCAGGAGGGGCUUCGGGUAAAAGGUACAUCUCCUUGGAAACAUUUUCACCGGUUGGGUUUCAAUGAUAGGCGAUGAUGACAUUUUCCACGUCAAAGCACACAAAGCUCACAACGGCUAGAUUUGUUUAGAAGUCGUCACCUAUCUGCACGUGUUUACUUUGCACGUGUACGCAUGGAUGUGUGGCAAUGUGUGCAGGUAUGGUUUGGAGGAAGAAAUCAACCCGCGUGCAACGAUGGCGCCGCAGGGCUCCCUACCCCCAGCCAGAUCUGCUAGCGCUCUGCUAACCACUCAUGCAGCAGUAGGAUUGGCAAGGAGCCGGCCAGUUAGCAGCUCCUGGCCAACCCUGCUGCGGCAGUCAUCAGGUCGAGGGUAGAGAUCGAGCGAAGAAAUGGAUCCCUCAAUCCAUUUCUUCCCUCAAAAAGGAUUGGAGAAUCCUUCCCAGUAUCGUACUCAUGCAUCUGGUUGGUUUUGGCCCGGAUUCGGUUUCGGUACAGCUCUCACCAAUUCGUGCGGAAGGCUCCAUCGCAAGCAGUCUGUCCGUGAGGUCGCGGGCCUCGGGCGGGUACACCACCACCGACGGCGCAUCAUCGUCAUCGUCUCCGUCACCCGCCGCUGUCGCCGCCACCGCCGCCGUGGCGGGCUCCUCAGGGUAGCAGAAGUCCCGGUCGGUGAUCUUCUGAAAGGUGAGGUACUCGCUGGCGGCCUUGAAGGGCGGCCGACCUGCGCGCGGCCAAUUCACCCCAUCCUCAUCCUCAUCCUUAUCCUCACCGCCAUCAUCAUCAUCAUCAUCAUCAUCAUCAUCAUCAUCAUCAUCAUCGUCGUCAUAAUUAUCGUCAUCAUCAUCAUCCAGUUUGACGACGUUCACUUUCCACAGCGCCGAGUCCGGCAGAGUGCAGGAUAAGCCCUGUGCGCUCUGGUUAAGUCGGUGACCCCAGUGCGGGUGAGGCUAGCAGGGGUCACCGUAGCGGGUAGGAGGACACCAUCACAUGUGGUGUGUGUUCCCGACGAGACGGGAGCACGGAGUAACGGACCCCCCGGGACCCGCGGGUACCGCAGUGCCGCGUGGCUAUUCUACAUGGCUUUGCGACGCCGGUGGAGGAGGCGUAGGUGGAGCAGACAAACAGAUAGACAGACAGAAAGAGAGCGCAAAAGCAGGCGGCAGCAGGGGUAGCCCACAUGGCGCUGCGCAUACACACACCUGUCCCAGCACCUUCUCACAGGUCUGCUUUAUGUCCUGCAUAUUAUACCCCAACCAUCAUCCCAGCCAACCACAACCCAGUCGCGCACUUACCCACGAUCAUCUGGUAUAGCAGGCAGCCCAGAGCCCAAAGGUCCGCAGGGUACGACAAGGGUUGGUUUAGGAGCACCUCGGGGGACACGUACUCCGCCGUGCCCACAAAAGAGGUGGCCCUGGCGCAGGUUGGGGGAAGGCUGACAUGAUCAUGUGCCGAGUGGCCGUCAGGCUUGGGUGGGAAUCAAGCUGGAGGUUGGGUCAGAGUCGGGCUUUCGAAGGCCCGCAGUGGCCUCGGCAACUUAGGCUGGUAGAGAGGGAAGUAAGACGAACCACUGACGAUUGGAGCUGGGAAGGAGAGGGGUAAAUGCAGGUUAAAGAACAAGGGUUCGACUGCCUAUAUAAGCGGGAGGGCAAGGGGAGGGACCAUUCGCGAAUGGUUCGGAUUUCGGGACGAACGGCUUUUCAAUAUCUAAGGCGCAUGGUUGGUUGGCCUCAUCGAGUCCUUGAAGAACCCGGGAAAGCUUACGAUAGUUAAGAGCCGCGGUGCCGGGGUCGGUGUUUGGGGUUGCUUGGGGUUGGUGGGGUUUCAUGCCGCCGCCGUGUAGCCGUGUGGAGCGGUGUCAUGCCAGGGGGAUAAGCAACUGCAGGGGGCUAAGAAAUGUCCGCUCCUGAGCCGCUUUGCAUACAUACCUAUUUUUGCCGGGCGGUUUCUCCGCUUGAGGCAAGAAGGAUGCACGUGCGCUGCCGAAGUCAAUGAGCUUCAAAUGGCCGUCCGCUGACAGCAGCAGGUUCUCGGGCUUAAGGUCCCUGCACCCGUUGUUGCAAGGCCGGGGUAACAGGUAACAAAAGGGGUUGGGGCGCUGCGGUCCAAGUACCAAAAUGGAGCGAUAUGGAACGGGGCGACCAGCUAGAGGAAGAGGGGCCAUGGGUGCACGAAGCUGUCAGACACACCGUGUGGGCAUGGGCACGGCCGCCCUUGCGUGCCGCAUGCUCGGCCUUUCCUCACACACACAUUCACUCUCAGCCAGCCGGCCAGAUGCAGCUAGCUCUCCAGCCAGCGACUCAAUCUGUGAUUCGAUCAUUCGCCCUGCCCGCCAGAACACCACCCGUCUUCUCCUCAGCGAGUCCACUACGUCCGGCGAGCCAGUCAGCCAAACUAUCUCAGGCUGGCAGGUAGGGAGGCAGGCAGGCAGGCAGGCAGGCAGGUAGCAGGAACCUCAGCCGGGCUGCCGGCCACCAUUCGGCCAGCCAGGGGCCCCACACGCACAACAUGCCUGCCUGGCAGGGUGACCCGCUACAUACCCGGGUCCUCAGGCCCCAGGUCCUAACCGCCCUUGGGCCCUUGGGCAGCCAUCAUCC
rnacentral:lncRNA from 1 species